rnacentral:lncRNA from 1 species
UAGCCAACCCGGGUUCACUCGGGGCGUGCCCAUACACGCCGCACCGUCCAAAGACCAAACCUUGCCUAAGGCGUAUACAUGACAUAUGUAUGUUAUGACUUGUUGUUUUAAGCCCUGGCGCGGCCUGCCCGCUCGCCCAGCUCGCGAAAUGCAGCGACAUGCCCCGACAAUGUACACGAAGAGCUGCUUUUAGCCCUCGCAAAGCCUUGAAUUUCCAUUCUCAUAGCUGAAAGUAGACACGGCACCAAUCACGGCUUGAAAAAAUGGCUCCUCGAGGGACCUCGGUCGCGAAAUUGCCGGUCGGCAGAGCCUCACAUUUUGCCCCGGGAUACGUUCCAAUGCAAUAUUGGGUAUCUAAAUAACAUAUUGAGUGAGUUACUGCUCUCUCCAGCACACUUGGGCCCGAUCGGACCGACACGCGCCCAUCGGGCACAUGCCUGGCGGGCCAAAACCCGCCCAUUUCGACCUCAGGCGAGCGCGGACCGCCCCCCCACUUGACCAGCAAGUCAUUACUACAUGCACAGAGGGGCUGAGAGCGUGGGGGACUCAGGGGAGACCAGUUUGGCCACGGGGACCCCCCUGCCCACCCCCAUGACCCCCCGCACGGGAAGGGCCGUACGGCAGUGGUAGUACUGUCGGACGGUGAAUCUGACACGACAGGCGUAAGGUAGGCAAGGUUGGUUUCCACGUCGGACUGUACUACCACGACUAAACACAGGUCCAAAGGUUGUGCAGUUUUGGGACGGUGCCCCAAACUGAAGUGAACCCGGGUUGUGUAUAGCCAUAAGUCAACACGCACGACUGAGCCGCACUGAGUGGAACUGAAGGGAACUGAGGGUCGCGUUUCCACAUCCCUCUCUCACCAAGUUUGGCGUAUUCUGGUUCAAACUCCAAACAGGUUUCAGGCAACUGUUGAAGGUGACACGCACACACAACGGCAUAUGUUUUAUCGUCUCUCUCAGAAUAGGCUGUCAUCCCUGACUGCAUCGCCCCGGUACGCUCGGUUCAAUCAAGGCACAUCAUGGACAACAGUUUAUAUCGUGGCUUUGAGACCUGCCGGUGUUGUCUGGUUAGCGACCUGUGCUGACGAGGAUGGCGUAGCGGGCAGUCAGCUGCAGCGGCAAGGGUGUUGAGAGGUUUUCCUUGCUGUCUGGUUGGCCUGCUGCCUGCUGCACUAGUGCUUGAUAGCUGGGCGCGACUGGGCACAUAUGGCGGGCGGUGCCUGUACAAACCGACCCCGGCUAUGUCCGGGAGAUGAGGCUAGUAUCGGAACCUUCGGCCUCAGACGGAGGACGUGGCGUGGCGGCACAGCCCACUUUUCCCUUGCGAGGGAGAGCCACCUUUUCUUGUCUUGUCAGUGACCCUUUGGUAGCCUUCGCCGCCAACCUGUGGCAUUAGCUCGAAUCGAUAUCCAUCAGUAGCACCCAGCGCCCCCCGCCCACCUUAAAAUCGGUAACUUCAGCACCCCCGAACCCCAGCCACCCCCCGCAUACACGUUCGAGAGCGCACAUGAGCUGGCCCAACCGUCAACCUGUCUAUCUAUCCGUUCCCAGUGCCCGGCCACCCCCGCACAUGCGCGUUCAUCACCCAGGUCGUCAAGCAGUCGUUUGUCCAUGGACGCGCGAAGGCACUUCUCGCUGUCGCCUAUUUACAUGCAAUAGGCAAUAGCAAAUACUAAUACGUGGCAGUCACGGUUUGUGCCAGUAUGAUACUUUUUGCCGACGCAGCCACGAACCGCGCCGCGUUAACUGCCCCACACGUAACUUCAGCACCCCCGAACCCCAGCCACCCCCCGCAUACACGUUCUCGGUGCUGCUCCCCUCCGGCUUGGAAACGCCUCUAGGGAGGUUCCCUAGAGGUUAAUUCCAAGCAUCGUCAGUCUGCAAUCACCUCCUCGCCCCACACAAACGCCCAAGCACUCGGCAAGUCUCGCAACAACGUACGUCCACGUAACGCAAAGCCCAGCAGUAGGCCAAACACACAGCCACAGCCGCACCCACAUGCCCCGGGGAUGCAAUGUAGGGGUCAUGCGCGCGCUAUUCACGUUCCGCCGCAGGCGGAGAGCACCGCACGGACCGGGGUGAUAACAAAAAUCUACACACCCUGCUGCACAGGUACUGAAACAUCCACUCCCUGCCCUCUGAGCGUCCAGCCUUCAACACGUAGCCUGUUUCAUACAUCUUAGACGGAAUGCACGGAAUACACAGAAGCAUGAAGCGUUCCUACACCUACAUAGGUACCAUAUGACUCUCACAGGCCCGUCACGCCAAUGAAGUCACCGAAGCAGCGGCAGCGAACAGGAAGGAUCGCGUUGCUGCCCCCAAAGUCAUUGCCGUAGAAGGCCGCCAGCACUUUGAACGCCUCGUGUUUGAGCUGCAGGACAUCGUUUCGGGUCGCCGGGAAGCAGUCGCCCGGCGGGCGGCUUCCCACCGCCGGGUCGGUGGCCUGCGAGGGCGCCUUCUCCCGCACAAGCGGCUGCAGUGGCUCGGUGGCGCCCGCCCUGCUGUUGCACACUCGCGCGUAGGCGUUGUGGCUGCUAGCUGCCACCUGCGCCUCCAGCCGCUGCACGCUCACGUUGAGCUGCUGCUGGCUCGCCUCCAGCUUCUGCUGGCUCGCCUCCAGCUUCUGCUGGCUCGCCUCCACCUUCUUAACGCAGUCCGUGGUCUCCUUGAGGGUCUCCAUGAGCUCAGCCUUGAAGUCCUUGAACAUGCCCUCAAUGCGCGCCAUGUCCACGUUACGUCCGUCGGCACCUACAGCCGGUGGCCACGGGCGGUGCGGCCGGGGGGGGGGGGAGGCGGAUUCAAAGUCAACAGAAGUGGAGUGUUGGCUUCAGGUCAGAACCGGGCUUGAAGAGGGAACAGUCCGAUUAGGGACCGUCGAGUGCAGCUAGGGGACCAACUUGACGCCACCCAUUUCUGCUGGGUUGCUGCAAACCCUCCUCAACGAUAUCUCCAAGUCAAUCCAAUUCAUUGCCAAGACCGACGCCGACCCGCUUGCAAACCACGCAUGUCGUGGUGUGUUAACACCCGUUAAGGCCCUGACAUACAUCAUACCUGCCGACAUCGCCAGCUGCGCGUUUUCCGCGACCUUGACGACCACCUCGCCCGAGACCGCAUUCGGGUGAAUAGCCGCGCGAUUCAGGGAGCGACAUCAGGGGACACGAAAUAUUCAAAGGGAUUUUUCGCUUGCCUUUGAGCGCGAGUAUCUGGUGGUACACAAGGAGGACGUCGGCCUUCAGCGUGGGCGUGACAGCUGCAGGGUCCACAGCGCCUCCGUGUUUCCAUACAACAUUAGCUCCGACAGGAAACUCAAAGGACCCGAUAAAAGGUUGCGCGGCCAUCGUGUUUUGGCUUCAAGUCAAGUGGGAGUCAAACUAGCCAGCUUUGUGUUGGCCUGCCUAACCUAUUUUAACACAGCGGAAUAUUAUAUAAUCCUAAUUUGACAAAACCAGGCAAUUGUGACUCAAGGAGUCCAGGCUGUGGAUUGCAAUGCUAAGGCGUCCCGAGAGGCGGGGCAGGUCGACAGGAGCAAGGCAGGCACGGCGCACACCAUAUGCAAACGAUUGUCCAUGUGGGCGGAACACGCUGAGGUCCCAUUUCACCUUGCGCACACCUCGACUUCCACACAUGGUGUAGGCCGCCCAUUCUACACCAGGUGUAGAAAUUGCUCAAAUUGCUCGACAUAACAGCUGUAGUGCUGAGGGCGAAGCCGAACGCAUCGACAUGCUUGGCGAAGCUGCGAAGUGCAGCUGAAGGCCACUUGGCAAGCAUGUCUGCUGCGAAGCCCCCACGUAAUCGCUAGUGCUGGACGCUGCACUGAUGGAGCUGCCGGCGGAACUUGACACGCUGCUCGGUGCAGGCAGCGUGUCCUUAGCCCCGGCCACCCUCUAGGCGCCGCAAGCGCGCCCCGCUGGCGCGCGGAGGCUGUUGUCGUGUUGAGGGUCAAGCUGUUGAGGGUCACCUGAGCCCCGACGCCUAUCGCGCGCUGCGCAAUUCGAUAAAAGCAUCCUGAUGCAUCUCGUUUUUUGAAUCUCAUAAAAUAUAUCAAAGUCUGUAGUUGUUUUACGCUGUCGCAGCCUGCGAUUCCUGAGCCCGUCCUUUGCCGGAAUUUUGCCCGAGUUUCGGUUGAGUUUCUCGUGAGUUUCCGCCGAGUUUCCGCCGAGUUUCCCUGCGCUCCGCCCGCGCGUGCACACCAGCGACUCUCAUGCACUCCAGCGAGUCCCUUCUCUUCAGCCCCCUGCCGCCGCCCCCAGCGAUCCCUCCCUUUGACAGCCGUGUGAAACCUGUGUGCGCUCUGAUGCAAUCGCCACCAGCCUGGGGAGGCAAACGCUCCGCCACGGCACGCAAAGCGCGCCGCGCAACCGGACAUGUUUCCCCCGCAUCUAGGUCGCACUCAUCCGCAUCGUCACACAGGUACCCGUGUCAACCGUGUGAAACCGUGUGCGUUUAGAGGCAGCCUAUGGACAGGGGUCAGCCCCAUGCUUGCUCACUGGCCUCGGCUCUACAACGUCAUGUUCGCUUGUGCGUGUUGCGUUCUUUCAAGCAUAUCAAUAAUGCUUCUCUCUGAGUUUACACGCAGCUCACACGCAGCUUCCCAAACGGCACGCCCGCGACUAUGCACUCCCACUCCCGUGCCGCGCCAACCACCAGCCUCUGCCGUGCUCCGCCGUACUCUCUUGCAGCUUCCCACACGCGUGUGCGCUCAACUGCCCGCUCCCACUCGCACGCCUGCCGACAACCGCCAACGACCCGUGUGUGUCACUACAGUCAGGUAGCUUCCGAGCCGGGCCGCCGUACAACUACCUGCUCACACUCGCGCAGCUGCCGACUGCCACGCUACCUCCUGUACGGCUGAGGGCGGUUGGGGUGCCGUACACGAGUUAGUUGGGGGUUAGUCGGAGCUGUCCCAGGAUGAAGGUUUAUCUAUUUUUUAUGGUCCCUUGCUUGGCAAGUCUUUCCCGUACCGUUACCACGUGUCCAUCUUGUCUUUCCGGCGGCGGCAGGUGUACGACGACGGCGGCAGCAUGACGACGGCACGUGUGUGGUGGAGCCUGCUGCUGUACGGACACCCGCGGCCGUAAAUUCUGGCGGGCGGUUGGGACGCGUGGCGGGCGGGCGGCGGCGGGUCGGAGCUGUACGAGCCGUGCCCUCUAAAGGUGAGGUGCGGGGCAGCAUGGGUGCGGGCAGAAAUUGUUCGGGGUGAGAGGGCAGGCAUCCUGCGCCAGCCGUGCUGUCGCUGCCACACUGUCCUCAUGCCUGUCGUUUGGCCUCAGCGUAGAGCCCCUCUCUUCCCUUCAUGGAUGCGGUGUGCGACGGACAGUCCGAUUCGGGGCGGCCAGCGUCGUCGAGCAGGGAAAGUCCCUCCCCGCUUCCUAGUUAUGCUUUCCUUGGGUGCAAAUAAACCUGAACCUCUCGCGCCCUCCCCUCCCCUGCAAUGGACGUUGCAGCUCUCCACCACAUUUGAGGCGGAGCCGCAGCCCCAGUACCGGGCGAGUGUGGAAGAAUUCGUGGCGGCAGCGGAGCGGGGAAUAGCAGCAGCAGUAGCCGCAGGCCCCGGGACCGUUGCUAUCCUGCUACUGCCAGAGGGCGCGCGUCAAGCGGACGCUGGGCCGCUGCCAGCGGGGCUCCGGACCGUGGCCCUGUCAGAGCUCCUGCCGUCGGCGGGCUCUACUGUGGCGGGAGGGUUAGGAGAUGCGGGUGCCCGGCUGCUGGAGGAGGCGGCAGCAGUGGCGACGGCAACGGAGGGACAAAGGCGCGAGCGGCAGCGCGUGCUCAGGGCGAGGUUGGGCAGCGUGUUGGGGGUGACGGGGCUAGGCGAAGACAGCGGAGUGCGGCUGCUUCUGGCGUCGCCCCACGACGCAUCUUUGAGCGCGUGCGUUGUGGCAGCGGUGCUGCGGGCAGCAGGCCACAGCGAAUGGGCAGUGUGCGAUUCUUUGUAGCACCUCUUUCAGGUCGCCUUGGGUGGAUGGAAAGAACCUUAAGGCCAUCGAAGGGUCGCCAUCCGUGCUGUAAUGGGCCGCAUGCCUAGGCUACCAAGGACGUUUGGGAAGUGUUGUGGAAGGGGGCUUGACUUCGGGCGGCCUAGAACGCGCCCGCUUCCAAAUCGUGUACGGCAACUGUCCUAGUUGGCGCCCAAUCUGCUCUUUCCCGACGCAAUAUUCGCAACCUGGGGCCGCCAGCGCUCCCGCCCGCAUUCAAGGCUUCUCAGCGCCAACCUCCAGCGAGUCAAAGGCGGCGAGCGCGCGACAGGCGGUUCGGUCGGCCUUUUGAGCGACGGUGCCAGCAGUGAAAGUCGUUGAACGGAAUGGGCGCCAGUCAAGCUUCGAGCAGCUUCGUCCCGCUUCAUUGAGUCGAGGUGGUUUGAAAACAAACCUACGCUACUGCAAUAGAGGGCGGGGUGUCCUUUUGUGCUUGCGCGUGACGGAAUCCGCCGAGUUCGGCCGGAACGCACGCAUGUUGGCAUGUCCAAUCAUCGACGCCCCGAAAUUGACUUUUUGCAGCGUUGCGUCAAAACGCCACACACAUUGCAAGACCAAAUGGAUAUGCGGGGAAAGACGCUUGUGUGUAAGACAGUGGGGCUCUCCCAGGCUAGCGCGAGUUGCCCUCCUGGCACCCAAACAUGCCAUUGGAUGUCUCGUCAAAAGAUGGGCUUCACCGGGGGAGUCCCGUGCAUGUCACUAACGCAAUACCUGCUGCCUUUGACCUCGUGUAGAAGUAGAAGACCCGCUCGGCUUAGCACAACAGCACAGCACUACUCCAGGCUACUACUCCUGCACGGCUGUUCACCGACGGUAACGCCUUGCCAGCAGCACCGCCGCAAUGCGCAGCACCAACGCGCCCAGACCCACGCCCGCUGCCACCUCCACCCCACGCUGCACCACCUUGAUGCUCCGCACCAGCCGCCGCACCACCUCCAUGCGUUCGCAAAACUCCGCUGUAUCGUUCACGUGCGGGAAGGGCAGCGGCGCCACGGCCGCAUCCGCCGCCGCCACUGCCGCCGCCGCCGCCUCACCGGCGCUCAUACCCGCACCCGCGUCGGUAGCACUGCCACUAGAGGAGGCAGGCGACGAGUCUGGCAGCAUCUGAUCGCGCUCCGCUUUCUCCGCCGUGCCCUUGACCUGAUGCCCCCUCCACCCGGGCAUCUUGACGGUCGGUGGCUUAACGGCAGCCCCGGCCUUGCCGGCGGCGCCGCCGCCAUUAUUGCCCGCCGCCGCCAUCGGCACGGGGCGGCCCAUGAAGUCGCAAAGCGGGCCCCAGCCCUGCCGUACGUCGUACUCCAGCAGCUGCUGACGUGGCACCAGGCGCCGCACCUCGGCAUAGUGCUCGGCGAACACCUGCCGGUGGGGGGUGGGGUGGGACAGUGUCAAGGGGGUGGGGUGGAGGGGUGGGCACAGUGACACACAGCCGCACGACACCGUGCUGAUACGCAUGCUCCGCCGACACGUGCAAGACGGGAACACGCUCUCGCGCCCUCCCUGCCUGGCGCUAUCCAGGGUGGGUAAAACCCUCCCCCCCCCCUUCCCCUACGCCCAUGCACCACCACCACUCGCCUGCCGCACAAAGUCCUUAUCGGUGAAGCGGCCGCGGAAGGUGCCGCGCGGCCCCCACACCAGCUCCUCUACCAUGAGCAUCAUCUUACGCAGCUGUGCCAGUGGCGGCGCGAUCACGGCCAGCAGCAGUCGCAUGUGCAGCGGCAGCUCCAGCAGCGGCCUGCCCACCUACGUCCCAAAAAUCAGAAGGGCGGCGGAUGUUACGUACGUGCAAGAGAGCUGACAAAGCGUGUGCGUGUGCGGUUCGGGAUAGAUGAGCUGCUGCUGUCCGGAGUGAGCAAACAUGCAGGUAUGUACUUGCAUGCUGCGGUUCGCUGCAAUCGCCCCGCCGCACGCACGCACGCACACACGCCCACUCCCCUGCACACGCCCACUCCCGCGCCCACCGCCUGCUUGCCUGCGACAUCUCAAAGAUGGUGCGGCGGGCGCUGUCGUACCAGGAGUCGAAGUCACGUGACGUCAGCACCACCUGCACGCACGCAUACGCACACACACGCGGCGGGGAGGCGGUGAGCGGGUGGCGGCGCACAACAACAGGCAGCCGCCGCACCGCGAAGGUCUCAACGUCACGUCGCCCCCUCCGGGCUUCAGAGGGCGUCCCAAUGACCUCAAGAGUCAUGCUAUACGUGUGUGUGUGUGUGUGUGUGUGUGUGUGUGUGUGUGUGUGUGUGUGUGUGUGUGUGUGUGUGUGUGUGUGUGUGACAACGGUUUACAGUUGUUUAUCAGAUCACGUGAUCGUGUAUCCGGACAACCCGUAGUUGCUAGUGCCAGGGGCGCAUUAGCACCUUGUUUGUCGCGCAUUGGUCUGGCAGUACAUGUCUCCCAAGCCUACGCGUAGCGUUAGACGUCAGUUUGGCCACAGGAGCCGCACCUCCCAUCUAUUGUGCUUAGACACUGAUUUGGCCCUAAGAGCCGCACCUCUGUCUAUAUUGUGAGACGUCGCUUUGGCCCUAGAAGCCGCACCUCCGUCUAUAUCAACACUGCUGCGAGCCGGCAGCUGGCCACUAUGCAUUGUUUGUUCGCCUAGCAAAAAGUCAUGUACCGUCCAAGUCCGGCACGUGGCCGCAGCAACCGCAAAACAAGCACCCCGCCGGCACUAGCUACCUUCCCUUCCCCACAGGGCAGAAUAUGCCUUAGGGCAGCCACAAAGUGAGAGAGAGGAUCAAUAACCAAAACCGUCUGUGCCCUAGCCCUGCAUUCACAACAAGCCUAACUUCCGCUGGACUUAAAAACACACACAGUGCGCGCCCCUCUCAGUUAUCCGCCAUGUGCAUUACUGCACGGGGUGUACGCAGCGCCGGUCCCCCUCCUCAGUCACGAUGUCCGUGCCCCGCCAGUACGGCUGCAGACCCCGUUCCACCAGGCUGUCGAACUGGGCUUGCCGCGCGCGCCUAGCUGCCCGCCCCUCCGGCGUCAGGAAGGGGGCCACCGUCACGCCUGCGGUGUGUUUAAUCUGCGCCGCAGCCCUGAUGAAGGCCGCCCGCUGAUCCCUGGUCACCACUACCUCCACAUUCCAAACGCGACCCGCGUUGCUAGCCCGCCACCGACGUUCAUACAUGCCCAUCGAGCCCUCUCCCAGGCCCAGAGCAGAGAAGUCACCGCGCGCCAUCGCCUCCGCCUGCUCGCUGCUUGCGCCACGAAGCAGUAUUUUGUUGGCCGCCAUCGCCCGUGGCGGCGGCGGCAGGUGUGUGCACGCUUGCGGCUGCGGCGGGUUCGGCCUCGCGGCCUCUCCUGCCGCAGGCGCAGCGUGUGGGGCAGCGGCGGCUUUGGGCCCGCCCGGCGGGGGCGCCGGGCGGCUUGCAGCCGCCGCUGCGGACGAUGCGGCACUGGGGGCCAGGCCCUUCCCUCCGCCAGUCUCCACCUCCAGCACGGCCGCUGUCGCGACCGCGAAUGCGUUCAGCUGCUGUGUCAGUUGCUGCACGGUGCCCGACAGCUGAUCCAGCAGCAAGCUGUGUUUGCGUGCCGCGCGGGCGCCGGGCCGUGUGCUCGGCUCGCAGGCCGCGCACCUGGCGCUGCACGAGGGCAAUCGCGUUGUCCAGCUUGGCCUCGUCCAAUCCGUGCUGGUUGAGUUCGACGUCGGCGCCGAUGAACAGGCUGUCCAGUAGCGCCUCCAUUCCCGACAUCCACAUAAGCAUGUGGCCCAGCCCUUCAGGCCCUCCAGACUUGAGGCGGAGCUCGCGGAGCUUUCUGAGGAAUGAAGAAAAUAGGUCAAAGCCCUCCUGGUUAAAGAGGGGGUUGCACUCUCUCCAUUCCGCCUCGUUGAUCACGCACUCAGGCGAGCUGGGCGAGAGAGACCAGGUUGCGAAGGAGUUAGGCACGGGAUAGCUAGGAGUCUCCGAGGCAGGAGAUGCGAAGCCUGGCUGUUCGCCGGGCCCGCGCGACGGCGAUGCCGACUCGCGAGCACUGUCCUGCUUCCCUGUAAUGCCACUACCUUCUGGCAUCCUCCUGAUCAGUAAAAACUAAUUCGGAAGAGCCGUGAGUCGCGCGGGCACCGUCAGCAUUCAGCGAGCUUGGCCUCUUAGCUCGCUGCGGCGCCGCGCCUUGCGUGUGUAUUGUGUAUUGUGUAUUGUGUGUGUGUGCGUGUGCGUGCGUGCGUGUGUGUGCGUGUGUGUGCGUGCGUGUGUGUGUGCGUGUGUGUGCGUGCGUGCGUGUGUGUGCGUGCGUGUGCGUGCGUGUGCGUGCGUGCGUGUGCGUGCGUGUGCGUGCGUGUGUGUGCGUGCGUGUUAAACAAAGAACAACCGGAACAAUUCCGCCAUACACGCGCAUGUGUGUGUAUGUGUGUAUGCGUGUAAAAGGCGUGUGGGGCCCGCCCCCACCUUGAUGUCGGGGUGUGCCGCCAGCAGCUCGGGCAGGAAGCCCGCCGCCAGCCAGUCCACCGCGGCCGUGUAGCCACCCAGCAGGCCCGGAGAAGACCAGUAGGCCGCCGAGGACUGGGGGCGAGCGAGGGAGCCAAAGGGGGGCGCGAGGGAUAUGGGGAGAACAAGGGGGGAGCGGCGUGUCCCCGUGAUGCAUGGGAGGGUGGCAGGCAGGGCGCGGUCAGGAGAUGGGCAACACGGGACCUAGCGAGCGGGUCAUUGACUCGCAGUUGCAGGAACAGGAACACGCAUGCGGGCAUUGUCAUACCGCAUCACGUGCACGGGUUUCGCGCUUUCCUUCCUUUAUGCAUGCGCUAUGCCACAUGCGCACCAACACAAUAGGCGCGAUGUGCUGCCUGCUAGCCAGAACACCCUGUUCCGACACCAUGCACAUUCAAAUACAGAAGCAUUUUUGGUACCGCGGGGUCAGGCGGGCGCACCUGCUGCUGUCGCUCGUCGGGGCGCCCGCCCUUGCUGCCCGCGCCGCCGCCCGCCGCGCCGUGCUCCCGCCCGGCCCGGUACCACGACGGCGCCUGGUCCGGGUUGUUGACCACCUGCGCAGCACGACCACCGCAGCUACAAAGUAGGAGGAUGGCAAUGCAUGCAAGUCCUGCGUCAGAAGGCCGGGACACCUACCGGCAAGGGCUGUCCUCCUUCCAUAAGUUGCAUCUCUUCCCAUGCCUGCGGGCUCCCCGCCCCCCUUUUGUGUCCCCCCCUCCCUGUGAUUUCCCUGCCGCCCCCCGCCCACACACCUACGGGCUUCCCGGCCCGACCUCGUCCCUCCCUUCUCCUCCCUCCUCCCUCCUGCUCCCUCGUAACCCUCCCCACCCCCUCACCCCCUCACCGCCUCACCCCCUCACCCCCUCACCUCCUCAACCUCUCACCCCCUCACCCCCUCAACCCCUCACCCCCUCACCCCCUCACCCCCUCACCCCCUCACCUCCACCAUGUGGUGUGUCUUGUACCCCAGGGCGUUCAGCGCCACGUACAGCGACAGGCUGCCGGUGCGCCCGAAGCCCGCCCCCAGCACCUGCAGCUUCUGCGCUGCCGUCUGCUGGUGCUGGUGGCCCUGCGGGUUUGGCGCCGGCUUUGUCGGCACGUGCGUUGGCUCCGCGGCGGGCUCGGCAGCAGUGCUCGCUGCUGCUGCAGCCAUAGGCGGCGCCGCGGCGUUUGCGGGAGCCGCUCCCGGCCCCGCCGGCUCAGACGUCACGGCGGCGGCGUAGCUCCGCCUCAUUGUUGUGGUAUGUUUGGAAUCAGCUCGUCAGCUCGUCAGCUCGUCAGCUCGUUAGCGCAGGUAGUGGACGCCCAGAGCGCUUCCUUAUCGAGUCGGUGCCUGUCGAGGUCCCAGUUUCGGUGACCCUUGGGCCUGUAGCUUGCGUAGCGCAGAUGGAAAUCAGGCCUGAAGCUUUACGACAAAAUUCAGUGGAAGGGCUUAACGGCAUGACAUUGCACUUGCUGAAUGCAGUGCUUCAGAGGGCUGUGGCGUUCGUUUGGUCGAGGGCGGAGGGGGUCUGGUGCCCACGCCUCCUGCCCGCGAUGUCGGCAUGCAAACGCUCUGCAGCGACACGGUGCACAACACUGGAGGGAUACCCUGGACUGGAAGCAUGAAGGGCGGAGUGAAGGCUCUUCGGACUGUGCGUCGACAUCUCCAGGAAAGCGGAUGUCUGCUGCGCUCAGCGUGGGGGCGGGCAGCGGGCACAUGUAGGAUAACCCGCCCUCUAUUCCAUAUCGUCGGUUCGACCGCCGAUAAUGUUAACGGACUUGCCCAGAAAGCGCGGGACAGAGCUGCUCUAAGGAGAAAGCCUGAACAGCGACCAAUCCGUUCAGCGACUUGCACCGUCGCUCUAACGGCUGACCGAACGGCCUGUCACGCGCUCGCCGCCUUUGACUCGCUGGAGGUUGGCGCUGAGAAGCCUUGAAUGCGGGCGGGAGCGCGGGCGGCCCCAGGUUGCGGAUAUUGCGUCGGGAAAGAGCAGGUUGGGCGACAACUAGGACAGUUGCCGUACACGAUUCGGAAGCGGGCGCGUUCUAGGCCGCCCGAAGUCAAGCCCCCUUCCACAACACAACAAAACACACCACUACUUUAAAGCAACUAGAACUCAUGAACACCCUUCAGCAGCAACGUCUCCUGAGCCCCGUCGGCUCGAUUCCUUGCAAACCAACGAACCCAGACACCGGGCCUUGCGCACCUGCAUCUCCCGACUGCUAUAGCCCUAGCAACCUGAACAUGCACCAGGCAGCAGGACCAGCAGAUGCUCGACGACGGAGCCCCGGCUCAGCAGAAUUCGGCGAGCAAUCGCUCUUACCCGGACAGCCGGAGGCCCGUUCCCAGCAACAAGUACAACGGCAGACACCUGGUGAGCUCUUGGGCGCUCCCAGGGCGGGUGCUUGAGCCGGGCCGAAGCAGAAUCAAUUGCCCGCCUGGCGAACCGGUGAACCCCUAUCUGUUCCGACCUCUAAAAUGCAUACAUUUUGAUUCCUGUAGAUGCUGCAGAUGUCAUACGGGCACUAGAGGACUGCCUGCAAGAACUCUGCGGCGCUUCUUGCGGGUCUGCGCCACUGGCCAUCGGGCAGCGCGGCGAGGGCUGCCUGCGCUCGGAGCUCAUUAACCGAUACGUCCUCUCCUCGUGAGUUAAGGGCAUUUGGGGAAAUGCAAGCAAUUUGUUGGCCGCCCGCGGUAGUUGGACAGCCUUCGUGUAGCGCCAACCCGGCGGCCUCGGCAGCGUUUCCCCGGGCUAGCCUACCGUAUUUCCUCCUGCUUGCUCGUGAUUAGGCCGUUUCAGCUCGCUGUACCAAACGAGGACCUAUGUGUUCUUGGACGCGCAGGUUGUACGCUUGCGAGCUGUCUGGAGCGCAGCUCGCCGCGGGGAGCGGGGGCUGCUGCCCCGGCACGCCCAGCGAGAGCGGAGUUGGCGGACUCGUCCCGGACACCAUGUCCAAGGCAAGCAGCAACGCGCAAAUAAGCAAUCUCAUCAAAGAAACGCCUAGGAGAACGGGCAUGAUGAUCUUAUAACCUGGCCCAUUAGCAAGCUCUUCCUCCCCAGUCCCCACCUGGUCCCCACCUCCGAACCCUCUCGCAUCACAUCCCCAAGUCCCGCCUACUCACAAGUCACAACCUCCCCUCCUCUCCCUUGCUCCUCCCUCCCGCCCUCCAGGCCAUGAACAACUGCGAGCGCGCCCUAGUCCUGGCCUCGCACCUGGGCGAGCCCCGCACGCUCGUGUACUUCGCGGUCGGGCUGGCGGAGCUGCACAUCGCGCGCCGCGACCUGGCCGCCGCCACCUCCACCUUCGACGCCUGCGCCGCCGCCUGCGCGGCGCUGGGCGACGGCGGGCUGCGCGGCGCGCUGCUGCAGCGGGUGCUGCCCAUGGCCAUGGAGGUGCUCAACAUGCAGGUGAGCCCGCGGCCUUGGUGCCGCGUGCCGUGUGCUGCAUACCGGUAGCAAUUUAACUAUUACUUGACAGGUCCUGUCACAUACAGUGUGCGUCACCAACGGCUUAGUCCCGUUGCUGGAUGUAUUUUGGGGGUAUUCAAUGAGAAAGGUGACGCACCCGUGUCCGUUCCUGCCGCUAACGCGAUGCCCUCGCUCCCACCCCCCUUGUGCGUCUCGCUCUGCUCAGGGCCGCACCGCUGAGAGCUUCCAGCGCUGGCGGCUGCUGAACGGCGUGCUGGCCGAGAGCGGCCGCGCCGUGCCCGAGGAGUGCCCCAUCUGCGCCGAGCCCUUCUCACCGGAGCGCGCCUGCGUGGCGUUGAGCUGCGGCCACUCGUUCCACAGGUGAGAGCUUGGAAUUAGAGUGAGGCUGCUACGCAGGGCGAGGCGCCAGAGAGGAAAGCGCGCGUUGGCAUGGCGCACAGCGUGCGAAUUUGCGCGCUUGAUUGCAUGCUGUAGGUAAAUGCGCUUUGCCGGGUGUUUGUUGUGCGCGCGUCUCACUGCCUGAAGAGUGGGCCUGCUGUCGCCGCCUAACGCCGCCUGCCCCGCUGCGCCCACGCCUGCACACACAGGGACUGCUGUGACCUGUGGCUAGGCCAUCGGAUGUUCACCACCGGCGUCUUCUGCGCCGAGUGCCCCGUCUGCAAGCAGGUGCGCGCGGUUGAACGCCUCGUAUGUGUUUGUCCUUCCCGCUACUGCCUGCCGGUCUGCUUUGUUUAGUGCCUGGUCUGUGCGUUUGUUUCCAUGCAACCCGAAAAGCGCCGAGCCUUACUGACCAUGCCUCCUAUCGCAUUCUGGUGUGUGUCACAGGUUGACGUCUCGCUCAAGCCCACGCCCGCAGCCGCACACGCACUGGUCAUGCAGCGGCAAGCCAUGCUAGUGGCCGCUGCCGCCGCCGCCGUCGACCCCGGACUCAUGUCCUGCGGCGGCAGCGACGGCAUCACCCGCAGUGGCGGCAGCAACGGCAGUAGCAGCAGCAGCCAUGGCAGCACCUGCAGUGGCACCAGCCGCGGCAGCGGUGGCGGCAGCAGCGAUAGCGCGAGCAGCAGCAGCAGCGGCAGCAACUCGACAGGCUGCCGUGCUGUGGCAGCCGCCGGCCGCGCCGAGGGUGGGUCGUGUAGCUCCUUCCACAGGAGCUGUGCGCCAGCAGCCGCCGGCGCCGCGACUUGUGGCGCCGCCCCUGCUACUGCCUCUGGCGGCAGCGUAGCAGCUGCUACUGCAGAGGGCAACAGCGGCUACCUUCACCACAGCAGCAGCCGGCGUGUGGCCGCGGCCGCGGCUGCUGCUGCUGCGGCUGCGGCCCUGGUGGCGGCAGGCCGGGAUGUGGAGGAGAGCUGCGCAGACGGCGCUUGCUGCUAUGCCAUGGAGACGGACGACGACAGUGCUGAGAGCAUGGCGUGAUGAGCGGAUGCAGUCUUGUGCUAUGUAUGGCCUCGUCGAGUUGCGCGUUGUGGCUGCAGUCGGUCGCGUGGGCUGGACCGUCCACGACAUAACGCGCUCGCAUGCUGUCUGAAUGCUGUGCGAGUGAAAAAAGAGUGUUGACGUCGGUUCCACGUGCCUUGCGUCUUGUGUACAGAGCUUCGCAGGCAUUGCGUUGUAUGCAUUGUUCCGUUGAGGAACCUGCAAACAUGCAGGCGUGCCCAGUGAAUUGGUGCCCACAUUAGUACUGCGGAGUGAGGUUGACUGGGCGGGAAAGCGGCGAUAUGGUGUGCGUGCUGAGAUGCGAGGGAGUAUGUCUGAGCCACCUUUUUUGAGCGUCGGGUCAUGCCAGGCUUUGGCUGCAUGCAGGCCGCAAUUCGCGCGCCGUGCCCGAGUAUUACUGCAUUCAACUGAAUUGGAGUGCGCUUUCCCGCAACAAAAAAGCAAUCCAUGUGUCGAAGGGUGCGCGCAGAACACCACCUGGCGGUGUGGGUCGAGUUACCGUGCACGCGGCAAAGUGGAACGGUAUGUCAAGGUGCAUGCAAAGCGUUACUGACGUGUGUACUGGACAUUCAGGGGCAAGUAGCUAUGGAUGUUACGGAGGGCGUUUCGUGUGAGGGGGCACGGCAACAUGAGGCACCGGCCCAAGAGGUUCAGAUUCAACUGAAGGAUAGGGAGCGGCGAGGCGAGGAGGCGAGGGGAGGGGAGCGACGCAUAACCGAAUGCGAGGCAUGGUGGCGGCACGAUGCCAGUUUUGUUUUGCGCGUGCGUGCGUGCUCUCUGGCCGUCAAGGCCAGGGCCGCUCAGCACCCAAGCAAAGGGAACUUUUGACAACUGAGUGCGCAUGCAGUGAAUUUCAUAUUUGAGAGACAUUUUGAUCGGGCUGGGGCAACAGGGGCGUGGCUUGCUAGUACAUGCCCCCGUGGACAUUGAUCGCGGCGUCUGGAGUGGAGAGUUGGUGUUGCUGCAAGCAAGCAGUACAUGUAUCCAAAUAAGGCGCGGAGUGGUGGUGUGCAAGCCUUGGGAAAGGACGAGCGUUUUUUGCAGAUGAGAGGGGCCCGUGGCCUGUGGUGGCAGAGCCGGGUGUAUUGGCCUGGAGUGACAACACGGGGUUUGGAGGGGCUGUCAGGAGGAGGCUGCCAUUUAGAACACCGACGGUGGUGACCGACCAUUUACACCAAGAGCCGGAAGGCGCUUCUUCAGUUUAUCUUAAUCACUCUGGUGGUGCGUGUACGCGGGGCUAAAUAAAGUGCCUUGCCGCCUUCCUUGCGUGAAGGCGCGAUGACGGCGAAAGAGCGAGUGAGAGGGUAGAGCGAGUGAGGGGGUAGAGCGAGUGAGCCGCAGUGAGUGCGUGGCGUGCAUUUGGACCCCGCAAGAGGGGCCGUGUAGCGGAUACUGCCAAUGCGAAGAUAUUGAUAAAGAUUAAACGGCAUGCGCAUGCGAGAGGUGAGCUUCUCGACGCAUGAUGGCGUGUGAGGUCCCAGUCAUGUGCACACCUGCACGAAGAUUCGAGGCGGCGCCGGCGGCGUUGCGCCGGGCCCGCCACCCCACGUGUAACAACUAUCCAGCAAGCUGUCUCAACUCUGCCCCCCUGGAACCCUUGGACAUGGGCGGGCCGCGAGCGGGCGAGGGCGGGCGCUCCUUCUGCUUCGCUUUUACACAGACCCCGCACACAGAGCGCACACUGUCGGCCUCUCUCCGUGUCCACCACUUACGUCGUUCCAUCUAGACAUCUCUCCAUCCACCGCCAAGGCGCCAACAACAUUCACGUCUCGCUGCCCUCCCCCCACACCCAUGCUUCCCGACCAACGCGGCGAAAUGCCGCCCGCUCCCAGCCGCCCACCAAACCCACCCCGCCUCCCGCUCACGCCUGCUUCUUCACGCCACUACCCCCCGCCUCGCCCCGGCCCUGCAAGAAGCCUCCACGGACCAGCAGCCACAGCCCCAGCGCCAUCUCCCACAGCCCCCCGGGAAUCGCCAGCGGCACGCCCGUGCCCUCCACGCCGUACAACUCCGCCACACUCCCCGCCGCCAGCAGGCUGUAGCCGAGCAGCCCCCACGCCGCCAUCCAGGCCGGCAGUAGCUGCCGGCGCAGCAGCAGCAGGCAGGCCGGGAGGCUGCCCAGCCCCAGCACCAGCAUGGCGACUGCGGGCGCGUGUCAGGGUUAGUGCGUGUGGUAGGGUUGGUGCGUGUGUUAGGGAUAGCACAGGGGGAAAGUGUUGUGCGUGCGUGUGUGAUGUGUGAUGCCUGUGUGCACGUGUGUGUGCAUGUGUGUGUGCGCGUGCGUGUGUGUGUGUGUGUGUGUGUGUGUGUGUGUGUGUGUGCAUGCGCGUGUGUGUGUGUGUGUGUGUGUGUGUGUGCGCGUGUGUGCGCUUAUGGUCAAAGAAGUAAGGGAAUGUGGUUGCACGCACGCGCUUGGCACCGUAAUCGUGGAGGUCACAGGGCAGGCAGCUGACUGGUACCUGCAGAGCUGCGGGUGCCUUCUGGGGCUCACCUUGGAAGGCGUAGAAGUUGGCUUUGACGGCCAGCGCCGCCAGGUCUGAGUACGCCACGCCGCCACCUACCCCUGCUGCCGUGGCGCCGCCACUGGUGUCCCCGCUGUUGCCCGCCACGAGCGCUGACAGCGGAAUGAGCAGCAGCUGGGCAAUGACUCCUGCGGCCAGCAGCAACGCCUCGGCCGCCCGGGUCGCGAGGUAGCCCACCGCGGCGCCUGGGCUGCCGUGGUGCCACAGCAGCGGGAAGAGCAGCACGCCUAGCAGUACUACCCCCACCUGCUCGCCCCGGGGCCGGGAGAGGGUGAGAGAGGGGCGGAAGGGGCGAGGGAGGGCGGGCACGCGAGGCAGAAGCGGGCGUCAGGGGGCUGGCGUACGUGCCUAAGCCAGGCUAAGGCCUGUGAGUGUGAGGCUAGGCCCAGACCAGGACUCCACCGGGUGGGGGUGUCCAGGGUGGUCAGGCUACUGAACAGACUGGGGCUGACACGAUAAAGGCGGCACUAGAUGGGGACGCAAAGCCAGAGCUAUUCCUGGGCCCACCAGCUGCCGCUAGCUCCACGUCCCCCCCGCGCCACCCCCACCGUGCCAGGCCAGCACCGCUACGCACCGAGUUGCUGAGCAGCAACAGGCCCGCGCUGACGACCUCAUGCUCAUGCGGCCCGAACGAUAGCGUGGAUAGAUGCUUGGAGCGCAGAGCAACCAUCCAGGAGUCGCCACCGCCGUAGGCAACGAAAGCCCAGAGCAACAAUGCCCCGAAUGUCCGUGCAGCGAGCGGCGAGAGCACGUAGUCCGCCAUAGUAAUUCGAGUAUACUGAUAACCGCAAGACGUGUAGAUGUAUUUCAAUACUCAGAGUAGGAGCCUUCCAUCACAGAGUUGCUGCAGUUGGGUUUCGCGGGCUUUGCCUUUGUUUCUUUCCAACCUUCUGGUCUGGCUUGACAGGUUAAACAGUGACACACAAGCGAGUCGCUUAAUUGCUUACACGUGAUGGCGCCGCAAUAAUCACCGCGGGGCAAUUCCCUCGCGGGAACCUGCGAAGCUGCAUAAAGGGUCACCCCAGCCCAGGCCUCCGGUCCUUCACGCGGCAGGAAGCCACGCAGAAAAAACCGUGCGCACCACCUUACAACCGCAUACACGCAUACGGCGCCCAGCCCUGUACCCAGCUGGGGCCUGGGGGCAAGCUGCAACAACCUGCCCCCACGACCUGCCCCCGAAUCCCCAUACAGUAACCUGCAGCGGUUCCGCUUCAAAACGGUGCUGUCCCGACCACCACCGGUGGCGCCUGCCACGACAUUGCUGGCGGCCCCGCCGCCGUCGUCAUGUAGCCCCCCGCCUGCAGCACCGCCGGCGCCGUGCCCUGCCCCGCCAGCCCCUGCCCCGGCACCACAGCCGCCGCCGUCCCAUAGCCGUACGUCAGCGCGGGCCCCACACCGCCGUAUCCUCCUGCAACUCCCACUCCUCCUCCCCCGUACAUCGGCACGCCCUGCUGCUGCCAGCCGGCUGCCGCGGCCUGCUGCGGCGGCAGCUGCUGCGCAUACGCCGGUGUCGCGGCCGAGACGUACGCCUGCUGAGCGGGCUGCGGAGAGGCGCCACCGCAAGGGCAGGGGCAAUGCGUCCACGACAUCCCCGCCUGCUGCGGCGAGCCGGCACCAACCGACGCCAGGUAGUACGGCUGCGCACCCGACUGCGGCGCGGGCAUCGUGACCAGCCCGAGCCCGGCGCCGCCGUGCGUCGCCGCCAUCGACGGCUGCAGCCCGGAAUACAGCAGCGGCUGCGGCUGUAGCUGCUGUGGCUGUAGCAGCGCGGCCGAGGGCGGCAUGAGCGCCAGGCUGCCGGGCGCGGGCGGCGCCGGCGUGGCCGCCAGGGCGCCGGGGCUGCAGGUGCUGGUGGUGGGUUGCAGCGCGAACAGCUGGGGCUGCGGCGGCGGCACCGGGAAGGAGCUCCAGCCGGUCAGCAUCUUGACCGUGGCCCUGAAGCAUGGGCGGGGAGGGCGGGGUUGCGGGCGUCAUACACAGUACCGUGAGAGGGGGUGGGCGGAGGGCGGGCUGGGCCAGAGGGAGCUGGAUUGUGCCAGUUGUGUCCGGUACGCCUGCUGAUGCGUCAGUGCUCAUUCCAUACGCGCACACACAAUGCACAAAUGCACCCAUGCACACACCUGAUAGUGAGCGUGUCAUCAUGCAGGAAGCGGCGGCUGUUGCGGUACAGGAAGUUGGACUUGACGAAGCGCGGGAAGCCAGCAACCACGCCGGGCGCCGGCGCCUGCAGCGUGGCGGGCGCCGGCGGCGGCGGCGUGGCCGCGGUGCGCGACUCGGUGAUGUGCACCGGCUUGAGCGUGCUCUGUGUGGUGGGGUGGGAGAGAAGACGUACGUUUAAUGGGCGUGUGGGUAUGGUGGUGACAUGGGAGGGGCUCCGUCUGGUGAAAGCGGCCUGUGCUGAGCGUCUGAGGCGCCUGUGGGUCCAGAGCUCCUCAGCACGACACCGGCCCGGAAUGAGCGGCGGGGGUGUCUUGGGGCCGCAGCUCCUCAGUAGAGGGCUGGUGAACACAAAUCCCAGGCUCCUGAUGAGACUGCCACACAACUGACAUGAUAAUAAACCCAUGCUGUUGCCCACAGGAGCCCUGGCUGCCCACCCUCCUCCAGCCAAGGCACCUCCGCUCCCUUUACGCGAGAAAUUCUCUAAAAUUCUCUAAAACCCUACCUCCCCACCCAGCCGCACCUUGUCAAUGACGCUCAGCUCGUACAGCAGGUGUCCGGGCCGCGUGCUGCCGGGUGUGGUGAGGAACAGGCCCAGGUACUUGUGCCCCUGCGCGCUCAGGCCGGCCGGGUACACCUCCAGCCGGAACAGCUGGCCGCCCACCUGGUGGUGGUGGUGGGGGCGCGGGGAGAGGGGUGGCGGGGGAGGAGGGUUACCGUGCCGGAGCCCGAGGAAAAGCUCCAUCAUGAGCAUUAGAAGGGGUUAGAGGGGGAGAAGUCGAAGCCAUUCACAGACACACAAGGUAAACCGAGACCCCGAUGCAGCAACCACUGGAGUUUGUGAGCUGGGGAAUGCAAGCUCUCACCUCGAAGAGGUCCGAGCACAGGCGCGUGCCGGGGCCCAUGGCUCGCGCCAGCGUGUAGCCCACCAUGGUGUAUGUGUGCGUGCCGCACACCGUGUCCACUUGCCGAAGCGACUCGGUCGCCAGGCAGCCCGUGCCCCUGGCGUCCGGAGGAAACGGAGCAGGAGGAGCACGAGGGGGCAAAUCGGUGGAGCAAGAGAUGAUGUGGUGUGCGGGGUCUGGCGGCUCACGGGUUCGUCCAGGUGGUCCCCAUCCUCCCCAGUGUUGCCCCGGCUUGCGCAUAUGAGUCCCCCUGACUCCUUAUUCCUGCUCCCUCGCCUUGGCAUGCGAUGCACCAAAGGCCCGCUCACCCCGUGUACCGGCCCACCCAGGGGCUAGCCUCGACCUCGCUAUCUGAUGUCUCCGGCGAUGGCAGCUCCUCGGCUCGCCGCCCUGUCCUUCGGCUGCGGCUUUGACAGCGACUAUGUCUGCAGCUACGUUCAUCCGCCCUGUGGUCCCUGCUGGACCGGCGCCGGGAGCUCUCCUCGCGCCCUCCCAUGGUUCAGUACAGUCGCGAAGCGACCCACAAGACGAAUUCGCAAAGCAAUGUCGUCAGCAGCUACAUAAGACGUACAGUAAGCUCAUGAUGAAGCUCCAAAGAGAAAUCGGUGGUGUCUCGAGUGCGUCAGUUACUGUCGGUUCGCCGCUAAGGAACUUAUGCAGUGGUUUUGUUAUAAAGAUUUGUACGUAUAAUGUAUACCAUCAGCAUGAUAAGAGGCGACACAAAGAAGGCGAAGCGACGAAGUUCUGCAUGGGGAGAAAUGGAACGAGCCUUUCCCCCCCUGUCAAGCUGCUAUGCCAAGCCAUAUUUAUUGUAAAAGUAGCUCGUUACGCGAGACAACUGCAGGUAGAGCCCAGCCUGCAACAAUCCACGCUGCCAAAUUCAAGUAGGGCCCAGACAGCUCUUGUUUUCUAGCGCCCUAGGGCGCCCGAGCCCCAGCAGCCAUGGAGAUCGAUAUUAUGGAGGACGUGGAGAACAUAACGGCACCCAAGGCAAGGUCGCCCUUGCGUGCAUAAGUGCCGGCUUGCAGAAUGUGAGCCCCUUCGCGCGCUCGCAGGCCAAGGGCAAGGCGACAAAGGCGGCGAAGGAGCCGUUGGGGCCUAGCAAUGCAGCGGCGCCAGCAGCGGGCGGCAAGAGCAUUGAAGAAAUGUAUCAGAAGAAGACACAGCUCGAGCACAUUAUCCUGCGCCCCGAUACCUACAUCGGCAGCACCGAGCGCCAGCCGAACCAUGUUUGGGUGCACACGGGACAGAAGAUGGAGUACAAGCAGGUCAGCUAUCCGCCCGGCCUGUACAAAAUCUUCGAUGAGAUUCUCGUGAACGCCGCGGACAACAAGGUCCGCGACGCCACGAUGGACACCAUAAAGGUUGACAUCGACGCGGUAAGCGAGGGGAAUUAUUUGGGAGGGGAAGGGCUUCGGCGGGGGAGGACACAGCGACCGGGGGGUGGGGGCGUGAGCCCUUCGCAGGCCUGCCGUGGCGCGUUGGUCGGCAGAGCCGGCACGUUGGGUCGCUGACCGGCCCCAACCUCACGCACUUCCGCGUGCCACGUCAAGCUGAGCCUCCCGGACCCACAUGUGCAGGCCACCAACAGCAUCCGCGUGUGGAACAACGGCAAGGGCAUCCCGGUGGAUGUGCACAAGGAGGAGGGCGUGUACGUGCCGGAGCUCAUCUUCGGCCACCUGCUGACCAGCAGCAACUACAACGACAGCGAGAAGAAGGCACGUGAAAUGUCGGGCGGGGGCCGAGCAAAGCCACACUUCAUUAGCACCUGAGUUACUGUACAUACCAACAUUCCCUACGCGCCCCCCCCUCAGAUCACCGGCGGCCGCAACGGCUACGGCGCCAAGCUGGCCAACAUCUUCUCCACCGAGUUCAUCAUCGAGACGUGCGACGGCUCACGGCUGAAGCGCUACAAGCAGACGUUCACCAAGAACAUGCAGGUGCGGCGUACGGCACGGCGCGGCGCGUCACUGCAUACCGGGUACUAUUGACAUCGCCCGCCUCUCCUCCCCGCCCUGCGCUCCUCGCCACCGCUCUGUGCGCCUCACAUAACAUGCCCGUGAGCCCCAACACCUGCACGGCGCGCCUGCUUGCGCUUGUGCUUUCCUGACACAGGUCAAGGGCACGCCCAAGAUCACGGACUGCAAGGCCAGCGACAACUGGACCAGCAUCACCUUCAAGCCCGACCUGGCGCGGUUCGGCAUGGAGGCGCUGGACGAGGACGUGGUGUCGCUGCUGCGCCGCCGCGUGUACGACAUGGCGGGCGUGCUGGGCAAGGGCGCCAAGGUGCGGGCGCGCUUGGGAAGUGGCGUGGGGUAGGGGAUGGGCUGGCUAGCAUGUGUGUGUGUGUGUAUGGUUUGGGGUGGGAAUGGCUGCAUGUCCAGCACGCGACAUGGCGGCACCGCCGUGCGUGUCUGCUUGGCAUCAGCCCGGGGGUGCCCCACUGGCCCGGGGGUGCCCCUGCAUCGUGAAUCGUGCACCGCAUACUGUUAGCUCGUGCUUACUGGUGGGCCGGCGCUGUGUGUUUGGCAACCGCCACCGCAGGUGUACUACAACGGCGAGCGGCUGAGCAUCAAGUCGUUCCAGGAGUACGUGGACAUGUACCUGGGGCCCAAGGUGCGGGAGGAGGGCGACAGGGAAGGGGAAGUGGGCGCAAGAUGCGGGAUGGCGCAGUGGGUAGGGCGGCGGGUGGGACUGGAGCGAAGGCACGGCCGGAAUGACGUGGAAAGGAGGCGGAGCUGGGACCUGGCGGGGGUCUGGCGAGGCGAGGUCAAAGCUAGGAAUCCGGGUGGCACGCAUGCCGCAGGGAGGAGGCAGCAAAAGGGAAAGGAACAGCGCGAUGAGAAUGUGCAGGGGUCAGGCUGGGCCAGGGUGCGUACGGGGACUGCGGGAAGGCCGGAGCCGGGGUAUGGGAUGCUGCCUCACCAGCGCGCCUGCGCCCGUGGCUCCCUGCGAACAGGAGAACGGCGUGCCGCGCUUCUGCGAGCGCAUCAACGACCGCUGGGAGGUGUGCAUCAGCAUCACGGACGGCUCCUUCCAGCAGGUGUGUGCACACACGGGGGCUUCAGCAGGCACGAGGGCGCGCGGUGCAGAUGUAACGGUGUUGUGUGGGCACCGCUGCUGUACCGCUGCUGUACCGCUGCAACCUGGCCCGACGCCGCGCUGAACCAUACCACGCGCAGGUGAGCUUCGUCAACUCCAUCUCCACCCAGAAGGGCGGCACGCACGUCGACUACAUCGUCAACCAGGUGGUCAAGUGAGUCCCGGCUUCUGAGUUACGUGCCGGACUGGCUGCAGCGAGCCACGUAUUGCAAGGGGCCUCCCGGACAAACAUCACGCGACACAGCACGACACACAGCGGGGGUGACCUGACAACACACGUUAGACGCUGGCGCCCCCUUUUGGAGUCGGAACUGCGAUGCACUAGCCUUUACCCCACGACGUCACAGGCACGCCACGGAGAAGCUGAGCAAGAAGACCACCAAGACGGCGGCCAUCAAGCCGGCCAUGGUGAAGAACCACCUGUGGGUCUUCCUCAACUGCUACGUGGAGAACCCCGCCUUCGACUCGCAGGUGCGCCCGGCUCCUCUCGGCGUGGAAGCAUCUGGCCACCUCGCGUUGCCGCCAUCACGCCUGCCCCUCUGGCCCCGUGUGUACAUUUCCAGCCUGCGCUCACCCCUAACCGACAUGUCCUUUAAGCCUUCUCGCAUCCUCUCCUUACACGCCCACAGACCAAGGAGACGCUGACGCUGCGCGCCACGGCCUUCGGCUCCAAAUGCGAGCUGCCGGUGCCGCUGCUGGACAAGGUGCUCAAGGCCGGCCUCAGCGACAGCAUCAUCCGCUUCGCCGAGUUCAAGAGCCAGAAGGAGCUCAAAAAGGGCGACGGCACCAAGCGCUCGCGCCUGCACGGUGCGUGCCAGCCGCCUCCCUGCCUGCCUCCUCAGUCCUGACUCUUGAGCCUGCCAGCCCAAGCUCCUUGCAUAGGCAUUGAAACCAUGCUCUUCACCCAGCACUCGCUACGAAGCCCUCACCCACAUACGCAUGAACACGCACACAUAUACUCACGCCAUUUCAACAACCACAGGCAUCACCAAGCUGGACGACGCCAACGACGCGGGCGGCCCGCGCAGCCGCGAGUGCACGCUCAUCUUGACGGAGGGCGAUAGCGCCAAGGCGCUGGCCAUCAGCGGGCUGGGAGUGGUGGGCCGCGACCACUACGGCGUGUUCCCGCUGCGCGGCAAGCUGCUCAACGUGCGCGAGGCCAGUGCGGCGCAGAUCGCGGCCAACGCCGAGAUCCAGAACAUCAAGCAGAUCAUGGGCCUGCAACACGGCAAGGUGCGUGUGUGCGUGUGCAUGUAUGCAUGUGUGUGCGUGGGUGUUGGCGGGGAGGUUUAGUCAUGUGUGGGUGCAUGCGGUGUGGCGAGUCAGCCGCAGUGGGUAGCCAGCAAGGCAGAAUGGAAGGCCUGCGUGGUGUUACCCAGCAAACUGACAAUCCUCUCCAACCGCCGCCGCUGUCGCCGCCGCCGCCUGCCGACACAGGUGUACGAGAACACGACGUCGCUGCGGUACGGCCACCUGAUGAUCAUGACGGACCAGGAUCACGACGGCUCGCACAUCAAGGGCCUCAUCAUGAACUUCCUGCACAGCUUCUUCCCCUCGCUGCUGCGCAUCCCCGGCUUCCUGCUGGAGUUCAUCACGCCCAUCGUCAAGGUGCGGCGCGGGCCGCGCUGGAGAGAGGCUGUCUGCUCCAUUCCCAUGGCAACUAGCAAACAAAAGCAAUUCGAAAGAUGACAGGACAUGAUUCCUAAGCUCAGCUUGGCACGCCGCUACCCAGCACCGCCCUCCCACAAACGCAUACACACGUCGCAUGCGUCUGGCCGCUGCCGCUGUAGGCUCGGCGCGGCCGCGACACCAAGGUGUUCUACACCAUGCCCGAGUACGAGGCGUGGAAGGAGAGCCUGGGCAACGCGACGACCGCCUGGGACAUCAAGUACUACAAGGGUCUGGGUACCUCCACCAAGGAGGAGGCGCAGGAGUACUUCUCGCGGCUGGACCUGCACCGCAAGGAGUUCGUGUGGGAGGGUGAGUGGGUGGGCGGGCGGGCGAACGAGUUGUUUGCUUGGCGGUUCAGGUUAGCAGCGCCCCUCAACCGGGGUAUUGUCGACACACCACGCCACGUUUGCCCAGCAAAGCUCCGUCCACGGGUGAAUUGCGCUAGGCAUGGAAAAGCAAGGCGGCAGCUGUGCGGCCUUGGUAACCAUGUCCUUGUUUGUGCCCUGUAGUUUCAAUGAUAGCUUGUAACCAAUGCAAUCUCUUCAAUACCGCGCAGGCGACGAGGACGGCGACUCCAUCGAGCUGGCGUUCAGCAAGAAGCGCGUGGACGACCGCAAGGAGUGGCUGAGCAACUUCGUGCCCGGCACCUUCCUGGACCAGAGCGCCGACCGCAUCAGCUACUCGGACUUCAUCAACCGGGUGAGGGCGGGCGGGACAGGCGGGUGCAGGAGGAGGGCGGGAGGUGGAGGGGACCGGGGGCGGCGGCAGGGCCUGGUAGUGUGCAGUCUUGGUAAACAGGCAGGUGGUGAUCGGCGCGCCUGGUGCUGCGCGUCAAGCUGCUGCGUGUCACCGACCUGCCAUGUGCGUGUGCCUGCGCCCCACCCCUGCCGCCCACCGUGCACCUGUCCCAACGCCCCUCCCUCCCGCCCUCCCGCCCUCCCUGCCGCAGGAGCUGAUCCUGUUCUCACGUGCCGACCUGGACCGCUCCAUCCCGUCCAUGCUGGACGGCCUCAAGCCUGGGCAGCGCAAGAUCCUGUACGCCUGCUUCAAGCGCAACCUCAAGAAGGACAUCAAGGUGCGCCCGCCCCCCGGGUCCUGCCCUCCACGCGAAUCCUGCUUACCCUCCUCGCCUCUAUCCACACACACUCACUUGCGCUGCCGGAAACGGUCGAGUUGCCUCUCCCGUCGCCGCCACUGCCAUCUAACCCUGCGCUGAUCUGGCUCUCCGCCUCUUUCACUUGUGUUCCCCCCCGCUUUUCCCCUCUUUUCUCCAUGUCGUGCCCUGCCCCCGUGUUCCCAUCCCGCUCCUGAGCGCGCCGCCAGGUGGCCCAGCUGUCCGCCUACGUGGCCGAGCACAGCGCCUACCACCACGGCGAGGGCAGCCUGGCCAGCACCAUCGUCAACCUGGCGCAGGACUUCGUGGGCAGCAACAACGUCAACCUGCUGCACCCCAGCGGUCAGUUCGGCACGCGGCUGCAGGGCGGCAAGGACGCCGCCAGCGCGCGCUACAUCUACACGCGGCUGGCGGCGCUGACGCGCCACCUGUUCAACGAGAACGACGAUCAGCUGCUCACCUACCUGAACGAGGAGGGGCAGAGCAUCGAGCCCGAGUGGUGCGUGCUGGGGAAGGAAGGGGCACGGGAAGGGGGGUGUAUGUGGGGUUAUCUGCCCAAGUCUACAAAGCGGUCUCAAAAUGGGGGCACAUGCGCUUGUGCCGGCGGCUGCCGGUGUAAACUAUGGGAGCAUUUGACUCCGCAACGAGUUGUUCCCUUGCUGGGGCGCGUGCGGGGUGUGCGGGCGCCGUGCCCCGAGAGAGACAAUGUGGGCUACCAGAUGUCAUGUGCACUCGGGUUUAUGUCGUGGCGAAGGACUGCGGCAAGUGGUUUCUGGUAGCUCACGGGUGCCGCUGCUGCCCCCGCUGGGCCCAUGCGCAGGUACAUGCCCAUCCUGCCCACCGUGCUGAUCAACGGCGCGGACGGCAUCGGCACGGGCUGGAGCACCACCAUCCCCAACUACAACCCCCGCGACAUCAUGGCCAACCUGCGGUGCGUACGUGCGUAUGCGGUUGUGUGUGUAUGUGUGUGGGCGCGCGUGUGUGUCACCAUGCCUGCUUCAUGCGCAACCCACGCCCUCUGCCUGCCUGGCUACCCAUGACACGGACCCAUGGCAACAUACCACGCCGCGCCCGCCCCGUGCCCCCUGCCCCGACUCUCCCGCUCGCUGUUCGCUGCCGCAGGCGCCUGCUGGAGGGCGAGGCGCAGGAGGCCAUGCACCCCUGGUACCGCGGCUUCAACGGCAACAUCGCCGAGGCAGCCACCCACAAGUCGGGCUCGCGCUCGUACGUGGUCAGCGGCACGGUCACGCAGGUGCGCGCGGCGUGUAUGCCCGCGCGAGUCUGCUUCCCUUACGGUACCAGCAACCAAAACAACUCAGCAAAAGCAUUGGUAUGGGCAUGGGGUCCCGAAAUCUCGCAAGUCCGCAGAAACCCAGACCUCCACUCCACUGGGCGCGCCUCCUAGUCCGAUACCACCCGCUGACCAGGGAUGUGCCCAUGCCGGCCUGCGCCUGUGUGUGCCACAGACCGGCCCCAACACCAUCGAGAUCACGGAGCUGCCCAUCCGCAAGUGGACCCAGGACUACAAGGAGUUCCUGGAGACGCUGCUGCGCCCCACCGAGAAGGUGAGGCGUGUGGGCUGUGUGGUGGACCGCAUGUCGCAGCCGCGAUCCCUGCCCUUCCCCUCCAGCACUCCUGCAAGCUUGGGCUCCUGUCCCACGGCCUCCCUUCCCGUCCCUGCCAUCCCAGCCCACCCUUACAUUGUGCCGGCUGGAGUGCAACCAUUUACCUCAACCUCCCGAUGUGCCUCCCGCCACCCCAUCCCCCGCUCUCCUCCACGCUCUUUUGCAUUGGUUUGGGUUUAGCUUGGGCUGGUAUUUACGAUCCUCCCCCCGCCCUCCCCCCACACAGGACGAGGCGCCCAUCAUCGCCGACUACAGCGAGCACCACUCCGACUCCAACGUGCACUUCGUGGUGGAGCUGCUGCCCGGCAAGAUGGAGGAGCUGCUGGCCUCGCCGGGCGGCCUGGACGGCAAGUUCAAGCUGACCACCAAGAUCGCGACCAGUGAGUGCCGCUUCUUGCCCGGAGUGCUUGGUGGGCUCGCCAGCAGGCCGCAUCCACGUAUCCGCUGUGGGUUGCAGCCUCGACCCACAUGCCCGUACACGGCACACAGGUCAUGGGCGCUGACCAUAUCCUGGCCCCCAAGGACAGCGCUAUCCCUUUCAGUUGCGGUAUUGUCAGCUUGAAUCGACUACUCCCACCGUAACCACAACCAUCAUCCUGGCAGGCAACAUGAUGCUGUUCGACCACAGCGGCAUGAUCAAGCACUACAGCAGCCCCGAGAUGAUCGUGGCCGAGUUCUACGAGCUGCGCCUGGACUACUACGAGAAGCGCCGUAUCGCCAUGCUCAAGGUCAGUUGGGCCUUGGAAAAUGCUGGCACGGAGCCCGCCCUUGGCUCUUGUCGCUGUGCACGGUGCUGUCCUGCAGUUUCAGGCUGCCAGCUGCACGCCGCCAGCUACUUGUGUGAAGCAGCGUCUAUCAGUCUGCCGUAUGCACACCUUACUUUGCAGCGGUGUCUGCGGCGUGACCGUCUCCCAAAAUCCACGCAGGUGGCGUCGCUGGACCAGAAGCGCGCGGACAACCGGAUCAGGUUCAUCCUGGCGGUGGUGGAGGGGCGGCUGGAGGUGCGCGGCCGCAAGCGCGCCGACCUCGAGCGCGACCUGGAGGCGCAGGGCUUUGACCGCCUGGGCAAGGCCGGCGCGAAGGUCAAGGUGCGUGUGCGUGCGUCAGGCAUGGCCGUGGCCGUGGCCUACGGUUUGGCAGCUCGCUCUGUGUUGCAGCCCGUCAUGCGUAUGACAGCAGGUGUACCGUAGUGGUUCCCCUGCGCGCCUUUCCAGGUCCUCGCUGCGUCGCUGCGUGGCGCUGCUGUUUGGUGACUUGGCUGUGCGCCGAGCUCCGCACACCACUGUCCUGUCACUGUUGCCCACACAGAUCACGGAGGUGGCCGAGGACGGCGAGGAAGGCGAGGGGGGCGAGGCCGCCGUCACCGCCUCCAACGGAGCCAGCUACGACUACCUGCUGUCCAUGUCCAUCUACAACCUGACGCGCGAGAAGAUCGCCAAGCUGCAGGAGGAGGCCGCGAAGGCCAAGGAGCGGGUGGAGUACCUGUGCAGCAUCACCGGCCGCGACAUGUGGGCGCAGGACCUGGACGCGUUCGAGGCGGUGGGUGGCGGGCAGUGCGUAGGGUUCCCAGGCUGCCAGCCUUGCAAGGGUGCUGCAAUUGAAGGGAGCUGUGUCGUCAGAACACUUAAUUGCUGGUUGCGAUAUGGUUCCGGACCUCGGCGCUUCGGUAGGUGACCACACGUGUGUUGCCUUGCUCCCGCUGCUGCAGGCCUACGAUACCUGGGAGGUGCAGGAGAACGCGCGCCUGGAGGAGGCCACGCGCAAGCAGCUGGCGGCCAAGCGCGGCAAGGGCGCGGUGAGCAAGCCAUGUUUUGAAGCAUCCUUAUCAGCGCGCACAGGGGCUGGCUUCAUGCGUUUUGUGUACGUGUCCGUGUGCUGUGGCAAACGCAUCAAGGUUGUGAGUGUGAGUACCUAUGAUGAUGCUCUGUUCCAGCAGGGCAAGGCUAAAGGCGCCGCCGGCGGCCGCAAGAAGGCGGCCAAGAAGGCGGCGGGCUCGGACGAGGAGGACUCGGCGGAGGACACGGCGGACUCGGACUUCGAGAUGGCCGCCAAGAAGAAGCCGGCGGCCCGCGCGCCGCCCAAGCCCAAGCCCGCAGCGCCCCCCGCACCGGCGGUUGCCGCGCCGGCACCAGCGCCAACGGCGCCCAAGCCCGCGGCAGCUGCGAAGGCACCGGCGGCGCCGAAGGCCGCCGCAAAGGCAGCGGCAGCGGCCGCCGCGAAGGCGCCGGCGGCGCCGGCGUUGGAGGUGGAGCCGGCUGCGGCGCCGGUGGCACGGCCGCCGGCCCGCAAGGCCGCGGCUGCGGGCGCGGCGGCGCGGAAGCGGAACGUGGUGGUGGACACCGAGGAUGAGGACGUGGACAUGUCGGACGGCUCGGAGGAGGAUUUCGCCAGCGCCACGGAGGACGACGAUGACGACUUCGAGGCGGACGAGGAGGAGAAGAAGCCCAAGAAGGCGCCCGCAGCCGCGAAGAAGGCCGCCGCGGCGCCGGUGCCCGCGGCCGCGCCCAAGCCCGCGGCGGCGCCCAAACCCGCGGCCGCACCGCGCGCCAAGAAGGCGGCGGCGGCAGCGGCUCCGCCGCCCCAACCGCUGCGCGCUGAUUCGCAGGGCAGCGAGCAGCCGAGCCAGGACGACAGCCGCAUGAAGCCGGACGCUGAAACGGCGGGACUGGCGGCGCGCCUAGCCGGUGCGUAAUGUGAUGUUCGUGUCGUGCGUCUGGCUGAACAAUUUCUUCUUCCUGUCAGGCAGCACAGUUAGGCAGGGUGCUGUCACCUGUGACGCAAGCGGCCUGCUCUUGCGCCUGCACUCACAGGGCGCAUGCAGGCGCAGCUGAACAUCGGCAAGGCGGGCGCGCCUGUGGUGAACCUGGAGGAAGACUACGACGUGAGCUCGCCCGCGCCCGGGCCCAAGACCGCCGUCGGUGCCAAGGUACGCGGCUGCCUCUGCUGCUGGCCUCUUGCUGUAUGCUGACCAUAGGAAGCAGGAACUCCUGGCGAGAGCGGCCUAUACGAGGCCUAAGCUGCGCGUCCUAUCACUGAUCUCCUUUGAUUGCGCCAUUGCAGAAACCGGCCGCGGGCAGGGCGCCGGCCGCUGGCGGGCGCGGCAAGGGCAAGGCUGCCGGCGGCGCUGCAGCGCCGAAGCAGCCAGGUGCGUGAUCGUGCUUUGCCAUUCCUAAAGGCGCCUCGUUCGGCGUUGCAGCGGCCGAACUGUACACACGCACGCCAUUCAUGCCCACACCUGCUCCACAUGCUCGGCUCCAUACACCCGCUUGCAUGCCGCUUGGCCCUGCCCAUGUCAACCUGCUGUGGUUCUUGCUGCUGUGCCCGCAGCCAAGCGCAAGGGCGCGGCCAAGAAGGGCUCAGACUCGGAGUCAGACGACGUCAUUGAGCCCAGCAGCGACGACGAGGAGACCUUCGAGCUGUCUGCGCCGUCGCCCGCGGUUGCGCCCAAGGCAAGUACGGUACCGCGCGGCUGUUUCCGCCCGCCGCGCAUUGACGCGUGGCGCCUGGCGCGUACUAGCCUUACAAAACUUACCCCUUCUGCCAUCAACACAAGGAUGUGCAACGCUCAUUGUUUGUGCUUUCACACGGCGCAGGGCAAGAAGAACCGCUCGGGCCCCACGCCGCUGGCGAUCAAGAGCCUGGCGCGCAUGGCGCCCGUGCCCGAGGAGAAGGCGCCUCUGCGCGCCCGCCGCGCCGCCGCCGCCAAGCCCGUCAACUACAAGAACGGCGGCAGCGACGACGACAGCGGGUCCGGCAGCGACAAGGACAGCGACUUCGAGGUGCUGUCGGACUGAGCAGCAGGCGGUAGCAGGCACCGGCCGUUGCGUUACCGGGCGUUUCCGGGCAGCGGCGACUGGGCCGCAACGGCGCUGGGACGGCGAGCGGCUAUGGGAAGAGAGGAGGGGCCGCAAGGGCGCAACCGAGGACGGAUGAGCGACGUGUGCGGCUGGGAGUGGGAGCGUAGGUAGGGUGCUGUAGGUGUACGGAAGGCGUGGAGCAUAAGGGGCUGGAGGACGGCAGGGAUGCCAGUGCAGGAAUGCGUGUGCGUGAUGCUGCCAACGCGGUAUGCAGGCUGGGCAAAAGGAUGCCAGGCAAUAUCGGUAUCACUCGAACACCAAAGUGUCAGUGUGCCUGGUAUGUUUGCGAACGUUACAAGAAAUGACGAUGGGAGUGCGCAAGCACACAGAGGCCAUGCACGGUCCAAACGAUCUGAAGAAGGUGAAAGGUGGCUGCCAACUGGCAGUGUGUGAGCGCGUCACCUGCCGCGUGGCCACUAUGUUAAGCCGCAUUGCACAAGCGGCUGACAUACAUGUAACGUGGCCUACUACACCGGCUUCCCAUGAGUCACACAUAUUGUUGGGGCUGGCGAGGACACGGGAAGGAGCCUUCGGAAGGACACACUCGGGGCAGGGCGGGCAUCAACGGCACGAUCGAGGCCACACCCAAGUGCUUCCAGCGCUACCCCCAACAUGUGCUACAACUUCAAAAUGGGAAACACGGCGGGCACCUACGCCUGCCGCAACGGCGCCCUGGAGCUGGUCGCCUAGUGUGGGCGGGCCCAUACUGGGCAUUCGUUGCCGUUAACUUGGUGAGGCAGUGGCGGGGGACGUGCACGUGCCCUCCGGGCUAGGGUGGGUGCGUGCCAGGCCGGCCUGGCCCGGUCGGCCUGGUGUGCGCUCAUUGUGCAUUGCCCACGGGCUUACUUCAUACAGGGAUAAUAUACAGCUCUGUCAAGUUUGCCCAGAACCGCGGUCGGCAAAGGGGCGGUGAGCUCGUCCUCCAUCGCGCACACUAGUCGGUGCAUGGUCCGUCAGCAGUCGUUGACUCGAAAUACUUCCCCGCUAUUCCCCGGCCCUUCUUGGGUGCGCGGUUCAGCGCUUGCUUUUUCUGCUUUCUUGUCAGCGGCGCACAACAUCACUCACCUGCUUUUAUCCGCACGAUGCUGGCCUAGGGCCAGCUCAUUACCUUGUUCAUAAUGUACAGAUAACAGACAUUAGAUAGGUGAAAGAAGUAGCGGUCGAAAUGGCGGUUCCAGGGAAGAUUUCUUUGGUGUUCAGCCCGGUAAAGCAGCGAUACUCCAUCGUUGCUCGGGGAAAUGGCAGGUAGGGUUUGCUGUAUGGAUAAACCCGCAGCUAAUGCUGCUUGUCCGCAGCGGUGCGGAGAACGCUGAACUCUGUGCCGUUCGCUCGCUAUUCAAGGGCUCUGGUGCAAGUCCUCCGUGUGGACAUCCACUCGGGCAAGCUUAUGUUCACGUGGACGAAAGGGCGGGACAUCUUUGAGAGCGAGGUAAGACAGGACACAGGAGCCUGCGCGAGCUGGCGCAUGCUGGUUCCCAGCUGACCAGCUUCUUCGCGCGCAGACCGCUGCUCUGGACUUCUUGAAGCAGGCAGAUGGCUCCAUCCAGGUGCGGACAGCUUGUUCAGUUCGGAGCGCGUUGGAAGUUGCGCGCUGCAGCCGGCCUGUCGCGCUGGACGGGACCAACGGGUGUAGCCAACGGGCAGAGCGUCCGAGCCCUGUCUUCCGCACGCACCCGCGCACGCGCUUGCACUGUCAAACCCACCCCAUUUAGAUGGGCAUGCCCGCGCCUCUGCUUCCCACUGGCGCACACGCUGCCGCUGCGGCUGCUGCUGCUGCGCGUGUCAACCGCCUGUGUGGCUCCAGGCUUCCAAGCCAUGCACGUAGGACUGACCUGGAGCAGCGCCUUCCCUGAGGUCUUAGGCAUGACCGCACGCCGCCACCCACCCCUCCCCUCCCCUCCUCCGGUCCUCCCACACAUCACCACCACCCCGCCACAGGUCUUGGCCACAGCGCCCUACAUCCUGGGCUACGUGGUAAUUGGGCCCUGGGGGCUGCUGCUUGUGGCGGAGAAGUUCCGCGUUUCCGCCUCGCUGCCCGGGAACCACGAAGUCAAGACGGUCACCAAGUCGCACUGGAUCAAGAUCCCGCUGCAGCUCAACCUGUCGCUGCAGUCCGUACAGGUGCGGGAAGCGGGGGAGCGGGAUGAGGGAACAGUUGGGGAUCCAAGCCCCGCAGCUGCUGCAGCCGCCGGUCAGACGGAUGCCGGCAGGCAGGCAGGCGGCGCCAGCUGGCAGCGGGGCGUGAGUGGCGACAGGGUGUGAGCGGCGACAGGGUGUGGACGGCGGCAGGGCGCCGCGGCGCGGCGCGGCAGGGGACAGGGGUGGUCAUUGGGGCAGGCAAGCGGGCAGGACGGGCACAGGAGGAGGCAGGAGGGCGGCGGCGACGCGGCGGCUGUCUGGGGGCUGGGGCAGGGUGCUGACGUGGCACCCGUGUGUCUUCCCCACACGCAUGGCGUCACAGGCGCCGGAGGCUGUCCUAAAGGACGAGAAGGCGAUGAAGGACGAGAUCGACAAGGGCAUUGAGCGCCUGCUGUCCUUCCCCAUCGACGGUAGGGCUGCUGCACACACGCGUGUGUGCGGUCUGGGGCAGGAAGGAGUGUCAGGCACGGGUAACACACGAAGACUUCUUGACCUGUGGGCGCUGCGGUCACGGUUGACGAGUGCACGUGUCUUCGCUCGAGCUUCCGCUCCGUACUCCCCCCUCCCCGGGCCUCUCCUGCAUUGAGUUCGGUUCAACUUGGGCCGGUAUUUACACCUUCCCUCUCGGCCUCAUCUGCGCACGUCGCGCAGGCGCGCACUUCCUGUGCGACACGCUGGACAUCACGCGGCCCUUCCCCUCCUACCGCGGCGUGAAGGACCCCAGCUGGGACCUGGUGUGGAACCGCUGGAUGAGCGCGCCCUUCCGCAACCUGGGCCUGGACCACCUGUGCCCGCCGCUGCUGCAGGUGCGGAGGCUGGUGCAGAGGAGGAGGGAGGGAGGGAGGGAGGGAGGGAGGGAGGGAGGGAGGGAGGGAGGGAGGGAAAGACAGGGAGGGGGAGGAAGGGAAGGAGGGAGGGAGGAGAAGGGAACGAAGGGAAAGGGGAAGGGGAGGGGAGCGGGGCGGUGGGAGGCAGAUGGCGGCGCGGGAGGCGGAGGAAGGGAGGAAGGGAGGGAAGGUUUGCGCAAGGGGAUGCCGCCAAGGGGAGGCUAUAUGUCGCCGCCGAGGACCCGAUGGGGGUCACAAAUGAAGGGAGGCGGCAGGUGGCCGCAAUGAAGCGCUGGCGAGCCGCAUGCACAGGCUUAGGUCUGGCACGGGCACGUCGGGGUCGGGCUGUGCCGACAGCCACCACGGGUGUGCGCGGUCUGCGCGGCCGCGGGGGGGGGGGGUUCAGCGGCGCUCGCACGGCGCUGGCGGUGGCGGCUGCUGCAGUCGGCUGGGUGUGCCUGGAAGCUGGAGCACGGGCGCGGGGUGGGCGUGGGGGGGGGGGGGGCGGGGCCGGGUAGAUGCGCUGUGGAUGCGCAGGGCCCCGCGCUGCCGCCACUGCUUCCGGUGCAGCGCCCCCGGUGGGGAGGGGAGGCCGCCGGUGGCAGGAGGCAGGAGGGGACGGCACAGUGCGGCAGUGGCGAAGCAGCGCUGGUGGCGCGGCCACACAGCGCCGCGCGCCUCGUGAACCCCGGGCCCGAGCCCCAACACGGCCUCUGCGCGCUGUGUGCGGCAUGCUACCCCGCAUGACCCCCCCUUUUUUCCAAACAUCCCUGCAACCCCCCCCCCCCACACACACACACACAAUGCACACGCACACACACAGGGCCUGUGUGAGUCGCGGCAGCUGGAGGACUUUGACGGCGCCAAGUACUGGGUGGCCAUGAUCAGCCGCCGCGGCUGCCUGCACCCAGGGCCCCGCUACAAGGCGCGCGGGCUGAAUGACUACGCGGAGCCGGGCAACGAGCUAGAGGUGGAGCAGGUGUGUGGGGGGGGGGAGGUGCUGGGGUGUGGGGGUUGGGUGGCGGAAGGGUUUGUUUGGGGGUUGUACAACCAGCCCAAACUAAACCAAACCAAGCCAAACUAGCGGAGCACAGGCAGAGGCGACAGGGGGUGCAGGAGGGAGGGAGGAGGAGAGGAAGGGGUGCGGGGGGAGGAGUAGGGGUGCGGGGGGAGGAGUAGGGGUGCGCGGGGGGGGGAGUAGGGGUGCGGGGGGGGGGGGAGUAGGGGUGCGGGGGGAGGAGUAGGGGUGCGGGGGGGAUCUGUGCUGUUGGAGGAUUGGGGCCACGGGAGGGAUGGAGGAUGGAGGGAGGGAGGGAGGGUGGGUGGGCGAGGCGCCAGGCUGCUUGUAACGUACGGCCGUAGGCGCUGGAGGUGGCUGCAGCAGCGAAGCGGUGGGCGGGCCCUAGGCGCGGAAGUUCGCGGUGUGCUGGAGCCGCGGUGGAGCACCCGGGCGGCACGGGGCCAGCCGAUGCCGGCCUCACCACACCGUACUCCGCUGAGCUCCCGUGACAGGAGCGCAUGUCCGCCCGCCCGCCCGCCCGCCACACACACACACACACACACACACACACACACACACACACACACACACACACACACACACACACACACACAUCGCCACCCCCACCGCCACCACCCACACGCACGCUAUCGCCACCCCCACCGCCACCACCACCGCGCAGGUGCUGUGGCGGCAGCAGCACCGCGACGGCAGCCUGCUGUGGAGCCGCUACACGUGGCGCCGCGGCAGCGCGCCGCUGUGGUGGGGCGUGUCCAUCAAGAACAACGGCAUCGGCGAGGCGGAGAUCAAGAUCCGCUCACACAACACCUUCAAGGGCUCCAAGAGGUGGGCGGGCGCAUUUUUGGGUGGGAGGGAGGGGGGUUAGCGGCGCGGUGCGGUAUAUUGCAGCAGUCAGUCCAUGGCCAGGCAGUCACCCUGCCCCGUGCGCCGACAAACACACACAUGCGCCCUUGGUUUCCAUUUCAACGCCUCCCCCCAACACAACGCCCACCCUGCCUACACCCGCCUCCACGCGUGCAGGUACGUGCGGCGGCUGCAGCGGCGCUACACGCCCACCGCGCAGCUGGACCCCGACCCGCCCGCCGCGGGCCCCGACGGCGACCCCACCCGCCUGGUUCCCAUCACCUUUGUGAGCCUGCUGCGCAAGGGCACGCCCGACCGCGACCGCAGCGAGGCCAAGCUGGCGUCCGCGUUUGACUUUGUGAGCGCCGGCAAGGGAGGCGAGGGAGGGAGGGAGGGAGGCUGGGUGGGAGGGAGGCUGGGGGGCCGGCUGGGGUGGGAAGGGGUUGUGAGGGAACAGGGGCUGAGGGAAAGAGGGCAUGGGCGCGAGGGCCGGAGGGCGCUAGGGGCUGUGGCGCUAGGGAGGGGAGGGGGCUGUUGUGACUGCAGGAGAAGGGUCACGGUACGGUUACGGUACGCAGGGACUGCAUGGGGGCCGGGCCGAUGUGGAAUGGUGCAAAACACCCCUUCCCCCUCCCCUGACUGGUCUGCUGCAACGACGUGUCAAUACGUUCCCGUCAUCAAGCAUGCAUGGAUUCCCCCGCCCCCCUGCGAACUAAUCAUGCAUGUAACCCCCUGCGCCCAGGUGGUUGCGGCGCUGCGCAAGGAGCACGGGCUGCCGCUGACCUACAUCGCGCUGGACUGGCACGAGAUGGACAAGCAACUGGGGCAUGUGGGCAUCGUGGAGGCCUUCUGGAACACGGUGCGUGUGUCAGAGCGUGUGUUUCAAAAAGGACACGCAGCGCACCCAUCCUUGCGACGUGUCCCUCCCUUGAUUAAUCAUGAUUGUAACCCCCUCCCACACACAUACACCUCGCCCGCUCAGGUGAAGGACCUGCUGCCGGCUCAGGGCUUUGCGCUGGGGACGCUGGAGAAGGUAGGGCCGGACCACACAGAGGUCUGCGCCGACGCGGGUGAGUGCGGGGGACGCAGGGGCCGACAGGGGCUGCGUUGCUCAGGGAUGAGGGGCGGGGAUGGGGGGCCCAACGGCACUGUGGGCCAACGGCUGUCGGGCGCGACGCCAGAGGAGGGAGGGUGCGGCAAUGCGGGGUGGUGUGCUGGUGGUCACGCGGAGGUGCGCGCAGAAUGCGCAUGUGGGAACGAGCUGCGAUGCGAGGCUCCAGGCGCGGAAACUGGUUGAGGCAGGAGGUGCCGGGCCGGGGUUGCAUUGACCUAGGAAGCUUGGCGAGCGAAGAGUUGUUCCAGGUGCAAUAUAGAUGCGGGAUCAUCUCACUUCGUCACUUUUUGGCUGUCUGGACCACUCACGGCCGCUUCCCUGCCCGCUGCAUGCAGAGCGGCCGGGCGCGCCGGCGCGGCCGGGCGACGACGGCUCUGGCAUUGUGGCGCCUCGCGUGUCCGCCGCCGGCAUCGGCUGGCGGGCGCACUGGCUACGGCAGCAGGUGCACACACGGGACGAACGAAUUGUUUUCCUUGUGCUCUUUAACACACGGGACGAACGAGUCCGGGCCGCGCAUGUUUGGGGAACGGGGCGGAGAGACAUGGACUUGGGGGCUUAGGCCUGGGGAGCGGGAUGCCCCCUCAUCGCGCAGCGCACUGUCCGCCAGGCCACUGCGGCGAGGCCUUGCAGUGCCGCUGAUCAGCUAAAACAUGAUUAGCUCAAACAUGAUCGGCUCAAAUAUUUGGACCGCCGUGCCUGUCCGCUGUUCCGCAGCGCGGCGUGACGCGCUACAACUGCGCCGACUCGCUGGACCGCACCAACGUGGGCUCCUUCUUCGGGGCGGUGCAGGUGCGAGCGGGCAGCCGCCCAUGGAAGGCGGCAGAAGGGGGCGGGUUGCGAGGGGGGGUUAAGCAAUUCACGCGAAUGGUGUGUAUCAAAGAUGGAAGGGGGGGACGCGGGUGCGGUGCGGGUGCGCGCUCGCGCUUCGCUCAAGCACGUCACUGGGGCGCGGGGCCCCGGGGUCGCGGGUGACAGGGGUUUCGGCCCACAGGCGCGGCAGCUGCACACAUGCCUGCGGUGAUGCCACAAGGACCCACCCUCGCCGACACGCGCACCUUGCCCUGUUUCAUCCCUACCCUUUUCACCCGCAUCUACUGUACCACCUCUCCUCGCUCUUUUGCAAUGCGUUCGGUUUACCGGUACUUUGGGCUAGUGUGCAGUUUCCCCAUGACUUACGGUCCCCGCAUCUCCCGCCUCCACUCCGCGCACCCGCCGCAGGUGAUGAUUGAGCAGUGCCGCGAGCUGGACAUCGCCAUCGCCCGCACCCGCCCCAGCGCCGAGCAGCUGGCGGCGCUGGCGGCGGCCCGCGCAGCGCGCGACCCGCGCACCUUCACCCGCGCCAGCACCAACGCCUCCACCAGCUCGGCCGCCGGCGCUGGUGGCAUCGGCGGCGGCGGCGGUGGCCCCGCUGGUGCGGGGCUGCAGCAGCCCGGCGGCACGCCGGGGCCGCUGGCGAUGACGCAGCCUUACACGCCCGGCGCGGCCGUGGCGGGCGCCCCGGGGGCGAACAACAACGCGGCCGGCAACAUGUUCGGCAUGACGGGGACGGCCGCGGCGGCGGCCGGGGCGGCGAUGCUCGAAAAGUUUGGCAAGCAGGUGCGAGCUGAGUGCCCGCGCGCCUGCUUGGCGUGCCUGUUGCUGCCGGGUUGGGGGUGAACCGCAACGUGCGAAACAGGCACGCCAUCCCAAAUGCGAUCGUCCGCCGAGGCCUCACUCUAGGCUGUGUGCGUGUGCACACCCGCGUGUCCGCAGGUUGCCAACGGCAUCACCACCAUGAUGACCGGCGACGGCCGCAGCCCCAUGCGCGGAGCCAACAUGCCCCCCGGCGCCGGCUACGGCCCCGGUGCCGGCGGCAGCGGCAGCGGCCACGGCAGCUCGCCGAUGCAGCGGGCGGCGCCGCCCCCCGGAGCAGGAGGCCCCGCAACGCCUGGCCCAGCGCCGGCGGCGGGGCCGGCGGCGGGCGCUCCGGAUGCGCCGCUGCAGAAGAAGAUCACCAUUGCGCCGGACGGCCUCCCGCUGCCACCCGUGAGCGGGGGGGCGCGGAUACGGGGCUACUGGGCAGGGGCAGGGGCCGACACCAUACCACCGCUAUGUGCCUACUAUCACUCGGCCCGCCGCUGCCGCUGCUUUGUCCCUCUCCCAAUCGACCUGCUCCCUGUGCCUCCCUCUGCCUCCCUCCGCCUGCCUCCGCCUCCCGCUCCAUUCUCCACAUGAACGGCUGUUCCCCCAUCACUCCUUGCUUCACACGAACGGCUACCCCCCCCUGUACCUUUGCACCUGGCUACGACUUCACUUCGUAAACGUAAUGCAUGUAACCCCCCCGCUCCCCCCGUCGCAGGGCUGGGAGGCCAAGAUCGACAAGACCAGCAACCGCAUCUUCUACGUGGACCACAACAGCCGCUCCACCACCUGGGAGCGCCCGCCCGUGCCCGCCUCCGGCCGCCUGUCCUCGGACGCGCUCAGCACCGUUUUCCAGCCCGGCAGCGGACCCGGCGGCCAGGUGCGCACGCGCAGGGCCGCCCCGCGCCCCUGGCCUUCAGUGCCGCCGUUGCCGUCGCGCUCGUGUUUUGCUAGUUAUGCCUGGAAAGGCCCCUGUUUGCGCCGGCGCACGCUUGCAUGCAUGGGCGGCGGGACAGGGCUGGGGCGCGGCUGGAGGGGGCAGCGCGGGGCAGGACACGUUGGGGCGGCAGCGCUGGCUUGGGGUCUCAGGCAGCCGGGAGGUGUUUCUUGCUGCGCGUGCGCCUUCGCUGCACGUCCGACGCCUCACGGUUCCUUGUCCUGCUAUGCAACACGCAGCAUGUGACGGCCCUGGGCGCGGCGACGCCGGGGGGCGGCAACGGCGCGCCGCCGCACAUGCGCAUGCCGGGGCAGGAGCCGCGCGGGCCGGCCCUCAGCGUCGGCAGCGUGACCUCCAGCCAGGCUGCGCCGGGGGCGCAGGUGCCCCUCACGCCCCGCGCGUCGACGCCACACGCCGCAGGUGCGCCUUUGCACCCAACAUUUUGCUUCACCUGUAGCAGCACGUAUGCGCUCACGGUGGCAACGCGCUCACAGCAUCCACCACAAAGCAAACUGCCACAGCGGAAGGCGGCCCUGGUCCCCCGCACCUCAUCCAAAUCCAUGUCAUGUCACCAUCGCAUGCUCAUGGAGUCAUGCGGCUUGAGCUGAUCCCAUUGGCUUCUAUGGUGUAGACUCGCCCGGGGACGCUCUGGGCCAGGUCCGCGCCGGUCCCACCGGCGGCAGCCACAACCGCACCGACUCGGCGGAGGGCGCGGAGCCGGAGCGCUUCGAGCCGCUCACGCCCUGGUGCAUGCUGCGGCAGGUGCGCAGCAGGCCGCUCCGCUUCUGAAAGGGGGGGUACCGGCCAUGAGGAGAACGGGGCGGUUGGGGGGUCGUCGUCCAUGAAAUGAAGGUUCGAGAGGCAGGCGGAUGCCAUAGUGUGCGUCAGAUACGCGUGACGUGCCGGGCCGGGCCGGGCCGGGCCGGGCCGGGUGAGCGGCUGUUCGUCGGGCUGCCCAGGCCCCACUGUCCGCCGCCUGCGUGGCUGCGCCCCCUUCAUCUCUGCACUGCUGCCCCCACCCCAGGUCACCACCUGCCACGCUGCCACGCCCCCUCCCCCGUCAAUGUUCAUCAUGCAUGGACACACACACACACACACACACACACACACACACACACACACACACACGCAGGUGGGCCGUGUGGCGGGCAUCAGCCGCCGCAUCCAUCCCGAGGCGCUGUCCAUGCUGGCCGAGCUGUUCCUGGUGAACGGCGACAUGUGCGCCUGGCUCUACACCGGCUCGCAGGUGGGGGGCUGCGGCGGGCGGUGGGAGGAGGCGCUUUAGCAGGCCUAGUUGCGGUGACGGUGGUGGUGGUGGGGAACCGGCGCGUGGCAGGGGCCGCGGAACUGAUCUUCCUGCACACGUAUGGCUACACGCACAUGCCACUCUGGCGAGCUCUUGGGCGAUUCGUUGCGUUUUCUAACACACACACACACACACACACACACAUACACACACACACACACACGCACGCGCAUGCACACACACACACGCACGCGCAUACGCAGGCCAUGCACAGCGAGCGCAUUCUGAUCUUUGAGCCGGAGACGUCCAAGCUGCGCAAGGCGGGUGUGGGCGCGUACGGCAACGCCAUCGUGGCUGUGAAGCGGCGCUACAACAACGUGGUGGUCGACAAGGAGAAGCAGUCCAUGAUUGACGUGCGUGGCGGGGCGGGGCGUGUGUGCGUGUGUGUUUUUGUGUGGAGAGAGGGUUGAGGAGCGUGUGUGUGUGUGUGUGUGUAAGGGGGGGCGGGGCUGCAGGCUGCAUGUGUGCAUGUUUGGGUGUGACGUUCUCUUCUUGUUUGUCACCUACUCGUGCUUGCUUUGUCCUCAUCCGUAUGGCACACACACGCACCUAAUACACACACACAUACACGCACACACACACACACACACACACACACACACACACACACACACACACACACACACACAGGUGUUCCUGGGCUACAAGCAGCGCGAGUACUUCCCCUCCGCCUGGCUGGCCUACCAGGUGCGCCCCAUCGGACCCGCACUGCACCGCACCCAGCACGGGCAACGACACAACCUCCCGGUCGCACGCCGCCGCUGCUCCCACAUAUGCGGCAACCCGCGGCACCAUGCGGCAACCCGCCGAACCCCUUACCACCCUUAUCUUUACGCCCUUCCCCCGUCCCCCGCCAUCUUCCACAUGAACGGCUGCGUGCCCGGCAGGUCUGGGACAAGGAGGGUGUGCCGCUGGAGGGCGACGAGGCGGACGACCUGGACGGCGAGCCCGUGGGCCAGAUCGACUGGCCGCUGCCGGAGCGCAACGCCGGCCACCACAUGCACCCCAUGUACGGCGCGAUGGGCUCCUCCGCCUCCGUCAGCGGGCCGUCGGGAGGCGGCGUGGGAGGCGGGUUGCACAGCUACAGCUUGGGUAUGUCGCACGGUGUGGGGCUGGGCGCGCCGCACCACGCGCAGCCGGGGGCGGUGCACGCGGGCGGCUACAGCAGCACCACGGCGGCGGCGGGCGUGCCGGGGCCCGGGCUGGCGGGGCUGGGCGGCUUCGGCGCGGGAGGCGGUGUCGUGGCGGGCGGCGUGGCGGGCGGCAAGGCGGGGCUGGGCGGGGGCGCGGGCCUGGGGCACGUGUACAGCGUGGGCGACCUGGCGGCGGCGGGCUCGGCGGCGGCGGUGGUGGGCGCGGCAGGAGGCGGCGGGCCCGCCAGUGGACCCGCCUCGGCGCAGCUGGCCGGCGGCAACAGGUGCGCGUGCGCUGAAGCUCCGGUGGUAUCAUGGACAUAUGCUGGGUUGUCGGUGUGGGUCCUGCCUGUGGGAUCCAGUGCUGCGCCAAACUCCUAACCCUGCCACUAUCGCCGGCGCUCUCUCUCCCCCUGCUUUUACCAUUGUGCCUGGCUACAACUUCGCUCCUCUUCAUUAGCCACGAACGUAACCCCGCCUCCCCUGUGUAUCGCUUGCAGCCGUCCGUCCCGCCGCGGCAAGUCCAUGAGCACGGAGGAGCUGGCCGAGCAGCUGAAGCAGAUCCACCUGCACAGCCAGCUCACGGACGAGCAGAUGAGGGCCAUGCGCAAGGUGCGGGCGUGCGUGCGUGCAGGGGGUGUGUGUUGUAGAAACCAGCCCAAACUAAACCGAGCCCAAUGCAAAAGAGCGAGGAGGAGAGCGUGGCCUAUGGUUUGAGACGGUGUGGCACUCGUGGGGUGGCGUGUUCGUGGGGCGUCGUCGCGCGGUGUGCCCGGUGCUCUCGUGCCGCUCGCUGUGGUUCAACACACACACGUACACACGCCCAUGUGCACACGCCCACAUACACACGCCCACGUACACACGCCUACGUAGACACGCCCACGUACACACGCCCGCGUACACACGCCCACGUACACACGCCCACGAUCACACAUGCCCACGUAGACACGCCCGCGUACACACGCCCACGUACACACGCCCAGGUAGACACGUGCCCAUGUACAUACGCCCGCGUACACACGCCCACGUAGACACGCCUACGUACACAUGCCCACGUACACACGCCCACGUAGACACGCCUAGGUAGACACGCCCACGUACACACGCCUACAUAGACACGCCCACGUAGACACGUGCCCAUGUACACACGCCCGCGUACACACGCCCAUGUGCACGCGCCUACGUAGACAUGCCCACGUAGACACGCCCACAUAGACACGCCCACAUAGACACGCCCACAUAGACACGCCCACGUAGACACGCCCACGUACACACGCCCGCGUACACACGCCCACGUACACACGCCCACGAUCACACAUGCCCACGUAGACACGCCCACGUAGACACGCCCGCGUAAACACGCCUACGUAGACACGUGCCCACGUAGACACGCCCACGUACACACGCCCACGAUCACACAUGCCCACGUAGACACGCCCGCGUACACACGCCCAUGUACACACGCCCACGUAGACACGCCCACGUAGACAUGUGCCCACGUACACACGCCCGCGUACACACGCCCACGUACACACGCCCACGUAGACACGUGCCCACUUAGACACGCCUACAUAGACACGUGCCCACGUAGACACGCCCACGUAGACACGCCCACGUACACACGCCUACUUAGACACGCCCACGUACACACGCCUACGUAGACAUGCCUACGUAGACACGCCAACGUAGACACGUGCCCACGUAGACACGCCUACGUAGACACGCCCACGUACACACGCCUACUUAGACACGCCCACGUAGACACGCCAACGUACACACGCCCACGUAGACACGCCUACGUAGACACACCUACGUAGACACGCCCACGUAGACACGCCCACGUACACACGCCCACGUACACACGCCCACGUAGACACGCCCACGUAGACACGCCCACGUAGACACGCCUACGUAGACAUGCCUACGUAGACACGCCAACGUAGACACGUGCCCACGUAGACACGCCUACGUAGACACGCCCACGUAGACACGCCCACGUACACACGCCUACUUAGACACGCCCACGUACAUACGCCAACGUAGACACGCCAACGUACACACGCCCACGUAGACACGCCUACGUAGACACACCUACGUGGACACGCCCACGUAGACACGCCCACGUACACACGCCCACGUAGACACGCCCACGUAGACACGCCCACGUAGACACGCCCACGUAGACACGCCUACGUAGACACGCCUACGUAGACACGCCCACGUAGACACGCCUACGUAGACACACGUCUACGUACACACGCCUACGUAGACACAUGCCCACGUAGACACGCCCACGUAGACACUUGCCCACGUACACACACGCCCACGUACACACACGCCCACAUACACACACACGCCCAUGUACGCACGCGCAGGCCGGCAGCGAGGCCGUGCUGACGUCCCUGGACAGCGCCAACAGCGUGGACCUGAUCCAGCUGGGCGGCCCGGACGAGAGCGAGACGUCCUCCGUGGCCUCGGCCUCGCUGGCGGCGGCGCCGUCGCGCCCGGGCACCGGGCUGCCGGCCUACGCCAGCGACCAGGCGGUGGGUAUGUGUGGGGGGGGACUGUGAGGAGGUGGAGGGAGGUGGGUUGGGUAGGUGGCAAAGAUGGUACAGAGAAGUGUAGCGACGAAGGGGGGGCUGCGUGGGGAGGGGCGCCGCAGGGGUGAUGUGGAGGAGAACUGUGCGCGGGUACCCGAGGUUGUGGUUGGGUGGAGGGGUGGGGUUUAACCGCCUUCAGGGCAGAACUGACCGAGACGCAGGUGUGGGUUGGUUGAUGCCCUUACAGGGAGUCUGGGGCAGUUGGAGCAUGCGUAUACCGUCAGCCCCCCCGCCCACUGGAGGCUGACGCGGGCUCCCGUCCCUCCGCCGCUUGCUCCCCAUCCCCUACCACUUCCAUUACUAGUCAUGAAUGUAGCCCCUUUCCCUCCCCUCACGCGCGCAGCUGCUCAUGCACCACAGCGCCAGCGAGGAGCAGAUAGGCCUGGGCGCCGCCGGGGCCGCGCAUGGCGGCGGCGCCGGCGCCGGCCUGUCGCCGCUGCAUGCGUCAUCCGGGGUGGCCGCGGGCUUCACGGACUGGGCGCAGUUCUCGGACGACGCCAGCGGCACCGGCACCGGCAGCAACACGCCCGACCGGCGCGGCGCGCCCUCCGGCCUCAAGCCGGCGCUGAAGAAGCCCGCGCCGCCCUCCGUGACGGACCCGCUCGCCUCGCUGCUGGACUCGGAGCUGUUGUAGCACCGGCGCCUGCGCAGCUGCUGAGGAGCGGGGCGGAGCGGAGCGGGGCCGCUGCGGAGCGGGGCGGAGCGAGGUGGCAUUGAACGCGCGGGCGCUGCUGUGUGCGCGAUGGGGCUCAUAUGGAUGCGGGCUGCAGGGCCCAGGGCGGCCCAGGGCUCGCCAUGCACGGGUGCGCACUGGCUGCUGUCAUCGUGGUUCUGGAGGCGGCGGGAGGCGGCGCUGGCGCCGCCACUUGCUCUGGUGUUAGGAGGGCACAAGGGGAAGGGGUCGACACGCUCCGGUCUUAUAGGGUGCGGGGCGACGGGGCCUGGCUGUGUGGACGGGUAGGUGUUUUGACGAUGGGGGAUGGCGUCUGCGUGAUUCGGCGUUCAAAUAUCGCGGUGCGGUGCGGGGCUCCCUAAGCCCCGCCUGGUAUACAGUGGUAGUGCCCGAGUGGUCAGCAAUCUAGUACGGCGGGGUUAGGGCGUCCAUUGGACGGCACGCUGUGAUUCGGGCGUGUGCCGGUGUCUACCUGUCGCGUGGGGCACCGGUGUGUGGGGUCGCGCCUAGGACUGCGGUGACCCUGGGGCACGCAGGCACGCGUGAACGGGGUGGUUGGCCUCGAGCGCAUAUGAGUCAUGUCAAAUGCCAAAUGUGUAAGACGCCAUUUCAGAAAAAUAUAAGCUAGUGUGAAUGCGCGAGAUGGACGGGCCGUGGAAUGGAACUCGGGAUUCCGCGAAUUUCCCGUUGAUCCCGUCUUACCGCUAGCCCUCUUACACCGUCCUUAGUGGUCGUCUGUCCUAGGCGCAAACUCAAUACAUGGCUUCGGCGUGUGGGGACGCGGCGUUGGCGAGUGCCACGAAUGGCCCUAAUACCGUGGGGGCAUGUUGUGAUGUUGGGUGACGUGACAGCGACAGGGAAUCAGGCAGUAAGCCGCCGUUACAAGGCAGAUGCGCAUCGGCGAUGGUCAGCCCCAGCAGCCACUCGCAACACCACGACACACAGAUUCAUCACGGUACCGUCCGUCCGUACUGCUUAUGUACUGCACCCGCACGGCCGCAACCACCACCGCCAGCAAGCUCAGCCCAAGGUAACGCCUACACGGCAAUCCCUACGACGCGCCCGCGAGUGCCCUCAGCGGGACUGCCAGGGCGACCGGCUGCUGCGCGGGCGGCUGCUGUUGUGGCCGCCCGCGCCCACCACGCAUGGCAUCUGGCGCCAGCACUCCCGCCGCCAACCCGUGGGGGUGGGGCUGGUGCCGGAGCUGUUCCUCUGGCUGCUGCUGCGCCUCUAAUGAUUCUGUUCGAUGCGGCGUCUGCUGCGGCUCCUGCAGCAGCCGCAGCUCCUGCUGCUGAUGUUGCGGCGGCGCUUGCCGGCGCCGCAGAAUGGGCUCGGCGCUGAACUGGGGCAUCCAUGCCCGCCGCAUGUGGCGAGAGGUGUUGGGUCCGGAGGCGUGGAGCAGGGUGUCUAAGAAGACCACCUGUGCGGGGGCCAGGGCAGGUCGGGGCGGAGAGGGGGGCAUCGUGGGUGGGUGCCAGCGCAAAGCCACGUCGCGUGCUCACCCAUGUGCGCUAGAGCAGCACAAGGGGUGCACAGCGCGUCCCUAUUCCUAUCGAAGGCAGGGCAGCAUCUGAAAGUUAGGCUACGGAGGCUGCGGCACGGAGCACGCGAUCGAGCGGCAACUGCAAGGCCGCCUUGUUCCGCCGCCCAUGUGCAACACUCACCACGGUGCCAGCGGGCACGAGCAGAAGCUGAUGCGGCGCUGCCGCAGCUGUAGCUGCCGAAGGCGCCGCGCCCGCCAAAGCACAAGCACAAGCGUCGAUCCCCGCGCCGCCGCCUUGCACACCCGCCACAGGCGCCGCAGCAGCCGCGGGCGGUGCUGGGGCCAAGUGGCUGCGCGGCACAACAGCCAGCGCUCCGUUCUCUGCGGAGUGCGCAAAGGGGUGAGGCGGUUACGGCGUAGCGCAGUCACGUGGCCCUGCCCCGAUGGCCCCCGGCCCCGCAAGCAGUCAGCUUGCACAAUACCCUGCAGCUCACACGGGCACCUCCGGCCCACCCGCCCACCUGCAUCCAUGUCAUCAAGAGCCGCCCAGACCUGCAGCGAGGGCGGCAGGGCGGGGGCGACCACAAGGUGGGGCAGCAGCAGCAGCAGCAGCAGCAGCAGCAGCAGCAGCAGCAGCGGCAGCAGCGCCUCCCUUCCCGACAACGCAUCCGACGCAUGCUCCCAGACUUUCCAGGCAACACCGGCCGCGGCAACUAAUGCCCGACGUCGGCGCGGCAUGGCCUGCUUCCCAGCGGCGACGCGCGCCCUGCCACGCGCGCCGUCACCGACAACACGCCGCGCGCGUGUGACCACGACCAAGACCAUGACCGCAGCGUCCCGUCCACGGUCCUCCGCAGCCACACACUGCCAGGGACCCACAUCUCCCACCCCCACACCGCGGCCACACCGGCCACACGCCACUCACAGAUAUGUAGGGGCUGUACUGGAACUCGGGCCGCCCCCGGCACCAGUCCGAGUCGCGGUGCCAGCCGAACGCGCAGCGAGCCGAGCUGCGUGGCGGCUUGAUAAUGAACUGCUCAUUGAACAGGUAGGGGCCCCCGCCACUGCUGCUACUGCCGCUACUGCCGAUGCCGCUGCUGCUACUGCCCUCGCCAUUAUUGCGGCUACUGCAGCUGCAGCCGCACGUGCCGCCAUCGCCGCUGCAAGUACCGGUAUUGCUAACCGACCCAGCAGCGACAGCACUCGCCACCUGCUGCGCGCAGCUUGUGUCUGAGGGCAGCGGCGGCAGAAUGCCGCCCCCGCCCUCGCCUCUGCCGCAGCCGCAGCCGCCACGGCAUGCGGCUGCCCCCGCACUAGCAACCGCGGGGUGCCUGCCGCCCCCUGUCGCAGCAGCCUCGUAAGGUGCCGCUGCUGCACACGCAUGGCCAUCAGGCGUUGCCGCGAUGCCGCCGUGUGCAAUCUGGUCCGCAGCAGCCUGUUCCGCACCGUCGGCGUCUUUACCGCUGUCGCCAGCGCCGGCUGCUGGCAUGCCGACGCCUGCAGUCCCAGGCCCAGGCCCAGCCCCAGCCCCAGCCCCAGCCCGGAGGUGAGGCUGGCUGAGCACCUCCAAGGGAAAGCCCAGUGCGGCGCAGACCAGCGCAUGCAGCUUGGCACAGCCCAUCAGGCCAAGCCCGGGCAGCCGCAUCGCAGACGAGCCAGCCUGCAGCAUGGCCAUGUGCGCGGCGGGCGCUGCUGACGCUAGGCCGCCGCCCGCCAGUACGGGGUUGCGGCCCCAGGCGCCUUCCUGGCCUGAGCAUCCCGGGGCUGUUAGUUCUGCUGGCAAGCAGCUGUAAGCGGGGCGCACCACCUCGAAAACGCAACCCCUGUGAGGCGGUAAGAUGCAAGGGUGUGUGUGUGUGUGUGUGUGUGUGUGUGUGUGUGUGUGUGUGUGUGUGUGUGUGUGUGUGUGUGUGUGUGUGUGUGUGUGUGUGUGUGUGUGUGUGUGUGUGUGUGUUUCAGCCCUGAUGGCGGGCACGAGAAACAUCAGCCAACAAGGGGAGGCGGCAACCAUUACCUGCUUGCUGCAAUUGACUCGCUGUCACCGUGGUCAUACGCUCCGCUCGCCUCCAGAACGUGCUCGGCCUCCUGUCAAACGCGUCAGUUUGGCCCAUGAUACUAUGAAUCAAUCAAAACACGUUGCAUACUUGAAGCUUACAUAUCGCAGCUGGUCUAGCUCGUUUUCGUCGAAAAAGCGGGGUAGCACCGCGUACCCGUUUAUGCAUAGCUCGGCUCUUACGCCUAAGAAAUUCAUAGCAGACAUUGUAAAUAUUUAAUCUCGAUAACAAUGAUACGUAACCUAGCUCUGAUUGCACCUUCCCGCCAAAAGUUUUGGCGGGAAGGUGCACCACCUCUUCGAUGAGCAGGCGAGCUUCCGGCAUGGCAGCUGCCUCGGCAGCCCCUCGGCAGCCCCUAGCCUUUAGUGCCUUGGCCGUGAGCUCCAGCCAGGUGGCUUGCUGGCUGCACUGGUAUGAGUCUUCAAGACUGGUUGGAGCGGAACACGUGUGUAAAAAGUAAGCCCGCACGGCGUAGGCCAGGAACGCCAACGUUGAGGAACGCUGGGGUUGAGUGCACCACACGAGUGCACCAGUCGAAAGGAGAUUGAUAGGCUGAUGCGGCUUUCCCAGCUGCCCCUACUUCCAGCCCCCACACCCCUCCUGCCCAAUGCUGCCACAAGCGAUUCCCGACCCAAACGCCCAAACCGCCCUCUGCAACCCCCCACCCGCUUCCAGUCGGACAACGCGCCAACUGUCGCCUUCAUCGACACUUCGCAACUGGUCGCUGGUAACAACCCCUCGCUCCCGGGGCUCGUGCGCGGUACCACACGCCUUCUGUUGUUACAUAGCGGACAGUAAAGCCCGCAUGAUCCGUGCAUCUUGUUCACAACCUCCCUGACUCUCCCACAACGCCCGAUGCUCUCAACGUCAACCCUGCCCCAAUGCUCUCAAUCAGCAUGCAUCCCUUCCCUGUUGCGCAAUCUCCCAAGCAAGCCCCGUCAUUGGCGUGCUCCGGCCUCCGGGUCAAGAGUAAGUCCGAAUUAUAGUAAAAGGCAGCUGCGGGCGCAACGAACCAUGCAUGUGCGUGUGUGCGUGUGGGGGAGCAUGCGCGCCCUCAAUGGACAGGAAUCGAGGCGAAACCCACCCUCAGACUGCAUGCCUCCACCCACACGCGCUUGAUCGAUCCUCUGAGCAGUGCAGAUCGUACGUACGUAGCAUAAAUCCGGUUUCCCACAGACGCAAUUACGUAUCGCUACUCCUACUCCCGACACUCACCCUGCCACACACACACACACACAAAGCUGGCCCGCCACUCCCAUCCACAAACCGAACCGAGACGCCACCAGACAAGUGCUCCCCGGUCAAGAGACAAGGGGCUGAACCCCUCCACAGUCUGAGGCCGAACAACCUCAUCGCCCGGACAUAGCCGGGGUCGGUUUCCACAGGCACAUAGCCAAACCAGGUGCCUAGCAAUCCAAACCGCCACCAGAAAAGCAUCGCUGCCAUCCGCCCCCACUCAUCAUAGGUAAUACUGUACUCUCCCAUUUGCCAUGGGCUAUUACUUACUUGCCACGGAUCUCGUGUUUGGUCUCCAUCCGCAUCAUCCCGGGUCCGAACAGUAUGCUAUCCGCACGCUGCAAUGUGGCACGCCGCCAAGCGGCCCCUGCGCCGUGCUACAGCCGCUUGCUGCCUGCUCCGUGCUACAGCCUGCCUUCCUGGGCACUGCGGCGGCUGGGUCGGUCCGCCCUGCCGGCGCAGCACAGCGCUCUGCCGUCCACCAGCUGCUCUUACUUCGGGCUGCCCUCCGCGCCGUCCGGAAGGGGUGGCGGCGGGCAGCAGCAGGCGGGGGCGGCUGCCGUGUGCGUCUAGCCGCGCGGAGCGACGUGCUGCUGAGUAAUGCUGCAGGCCAGUCGGGGACAAGGGGCGGGAGAGGUUGGUUCCUUGAACACACACACACACACACACAAUGGGUGAAGCACGCACACACGUCACCCACACACACGACCCGGCAACGCCCACUCCACCCGCAGGCUCAGGCCCUGUCUAGCACAGGGCAAUGCCUUGCAGCCCCCACGCCGCCCCCCACUCCGCCCCCCAUGCCGGCCCCCACGCACCAGUGCACGUUUCCGGCGUUGAGCAGCACGUCGCGGCUGUGCACGCCCACCACCUUGCGGCCGGGGUAGGCCUUGGACAGGAUCUCCAGUGCCAGCUCGUCAGACUUGGACUGUUGUGGGUGGUGGGAGGAGGGAGGAGGGAGCAGGGAGCAGCGAGGAGGCAGAGGUGGGCAGCGAGGUGUGAUGGGCAUUUUGGGGAGCUGGUAGGCAAGGGCGGGUCCAACCAUGGCGACUGCCCACCUAAGAGCCACUGACCCCCAGCAAGCAGCAGAGCUGCAGACCUUUCCAGCGGCAAUGCACGUAUAACACACACACACUGUUCACACACACACACACAAACACACAUACCCACAUACCCACAUACACACACUACACACACACACACACACACACACACACUACGCACACUUCACACACACACGCGCGCGCACGCACCUGCGCGCCGCCGAACUGCGGGCACACGAUGCCGCCGUUGGCGAUGUAGUGGUUGAUGUAGCUGGCGGCCAGGCGCUCGCCGGCCACGCGCGGCACGUAGCCCUUCUUGGCGUGGUCGGGGUGCAUGCCGUUGGCCUCCUUGAAGGAGCGGAACAUGCCGGGCGUGGGCGCGGGCAGCUUGAUCACCUGUGCAGGUGUGGGGUGGAGGCGGAGGAGGGGCCGUGAGGGAGAGGGCAAUGAGGUGGGGUUCGAGGGCUAUGGGUAGUCCAGGUGGGUGCGAGGGCACGGUGUGAGGGCUAGCUGAAGCUUGGGUGUGGAAUGUGUGCGGCACGCAGACAGGCCAGGGCGUGCCGCACAUGCCGGCACGACUAUUGCUGUCCACAGUCCAACCAUCUAUCCAGAGGGCUACGGCAUCCGCUACACCUGCGACCCGCCCACCCCCCAAACACACACGCGCGCGCUAUAUUCUCCGUGUGCUCUGCGCGCUCGCGCUCACCUUGAUGCGGCGGCCCAGGGCGUCCUCGGUGUUCUCUAGGAUCUCCAGGUUGCGCGCCGACACCUCGUGCUGCGGGUCGUUGGGGUCGUCGCACCAGGACAGCAGGAUGGUGCCGGGCUCGGAGAAGGUGGCCAUGUUGUCCACGUGCCCGUUCACCACCUGCGCGUAAGCGAAGCAGUGUGUGUUAAAGAGCACAAGGAAACAUUACGCGUAGGACAGUGUAUGCGUGUGUGUGUGUGUGUGUGUGUGUGUGUGUGUUUGUGUGUUAGGAAAGCACAAGGGGAAAGGGUCGACACUGCACGAGGAAGCGCGAACGUGUGCUGCGUUUGGCGUGAGAGAGCACAAGGUCAGGAAACGUGCACGCAUGUGUGUGUGUGUGUGUGUGUGUGUGUGUGUGUGUGCGUGUGUGUCCCGCCUGCCUAUAGCUACGGGUGCACUCACGUGGUCGUCUCCCAUCAUGCCCUUCCACAGCCAGAUGAUCUUCUCCAGCCCCAGGUACUCCUUGAGCAUGCGCUCAAUGCCCUCCUUGCCCAGGUGCGGGUUGCGGCUGGGAUGCAGCAGGCACUCCUCAGUCACAACCAGCGUGCUGCCAGGCGAGGGGCAAGGAUGGAGGUCGUAGCCACGGGAGGGGAGGGGAGAGCAAGGGAGGGGAGAGCAAGGGGGGGAGGUGGAAGUGGGCACGUGAGAGAUGUGGGCGGUAGGGGGUGGACGGGUAGGGUGGGGUGGAUGGGCUGGUCACACACACCGUGGCUGGGUGUACAUGACCACACCGACUGCUACCAGCACAGCGAUCCUCGUGCAGCCUCGUGUGUGUGCCACUGACUCACCCCUGGCCGUCCGAGUGGAUGGAGCCGCCCUCCAGGUGCAGGGGGCACUCGAAGGCCUUGAGGCCCGCCCAGUCCAGAAUGGCGCGGCCGGCGGCGUGGUCCUUCUGCCACUCAGGCAUCAUCUGGGUGGGUGGGUGGGGAUGGGUGGGGUGGAAGCAGGUGGGGAAGGUGGGUUGCAGCAGCCAGGUAAAGCCGCGAGCAGAGCAGCGGUACGCGGACGCAGUGUAUUGGCGGCAGUGCAGCAGCCCACCGCGCAUUCCGACCGGGUGCAGCGCAUGCAUGCACGUACAAGCCCGUCCGCCAAGGGCGCGCUACCACGCGUGCCGCGCUACCCUCUCCCUCCGCAUCUCUCCCUGACUCCCUCCCUCCCUCCCCACCCCUGACUCCCUCCUCCACCUGACUCCCUCCCCCUGACUCCUCCCUCUCCCUCUCCCUCACCGCGGGCAGGCCCAGCUUCUUCUUGCCGGGCGCGCCGUAGCAGUCGUAGUCCCAGUGCACGCCCGCCACCUCGCGUUUGCCGGUCUUGGGGUCGUCGCGCACCACACACUGAGGCGACAGGAUGCAGGCAGGACAGGGAGGCGGGAGGGGGGUUGUUUGCACCAUCCAAUGGGAACCAUAAGUAAGAGGCACAGGGGGCGCGACAAGGGGAAGGGAAUUGGCCGAGCCCGGUGGACCGGGGGGGGAGGCAGCGGGAGGACAGGGGCCUGCCAAGGACCGGGUGGCAGGCAGCAGCGUUGCGAGUUCACUAGGGCAAUGUACUGAACAAGACAUGUACACAACUCACGGUUGGGCCCCAGUCGCGCAGCCAGCCAUCCUCGAUGGGCAUCUCCACCACCGUGACGCCGCUCACGCCGCGGAAGUGGUUGCGGGCGGACUGGAUCGACUGCGCGGGGGAAGAAGAGAGGUGGGGAGGACGGCGGCAAAGGCAGAGCGAGCGGGUUAGGGUGGGGCGCUGAGAAGAGGGAGCUCCAGCGUGGUGGGAGCGGGACGCUCUGAGACGCGAGACAGGACGGGACUAUGAUUGGGUGUUUACGGGAGGGGGUUCUGAGUGACCGGGGAUGCCAUCCGAAGUUCGGGUCAUGACACGUACCGAGGGGUCGGCGAACAUCCAGACGGGCUCGAACUCGCUGAUGGCCUUGGCGAUGGCGGCGUACUGCUGCUGAGCAGGCUUGGCGUUCUCGCGCCACAGGUAGGGGCUAUAAGGCCAGCCCAUCCAGCAGCCCACGUGCGGCUCAAACUCGCCCUGCAGGUGGAGGGCCAGCGUCACAGCGAGACAAGACAAAACACACGAGAGCGGGAAAGGCAGUGGCCAAAACCGAUCACGUGGAAUGGUUUUGGCUAGACACAAAGGCUGCUGCCAGGCAUCUCGAUCAAGCCCCGAGGCACCCUUCGCAACAUAGGUUCGCUGGCAACGGAAGCCAGAGCGAAAGAGAGACAGCAGGACCGAUUCCUCAACCGUCGCGAGACAGGGAGACAGCUGUUAAACUUACCGGCAUAGUGUAGCCCAGGCUUUUGGGAGUUGCCUCAGAGGCAGCCGACGCCAUGCCAGCCAUGUUCUGCGCGUUGGCAGCAACGAGGCCCAUUCCGCCUGUCGCGCCUGCGUGCGUGGAAGGUUCAUACCGCGUGCUCAAGCCAUGAACGAGUAUGCAGUACCACGUGACUCUACAAAAGCCGGAUGAAUGGGUAGAAGACGACCGGCGCGACCGAAUCUUCAUCUUCAUCGCGUAAACCGCGUCGCCAGCACGGGGACUAACAUCGACCGAGCCACAGGUAGCAGAAUAACGCGAGCGUCCAUUCAAAAUUCCCGAUCAGCAUCGAACACGCGCCAGGACUCACCGGCAGCACCGCCCAUGGCCUUGGCAGCCACCUGGCCUGCCAGACCCAGCGCCUUGGCAGUCUUCAGCAUGGUGACGUGUAUAUUGGACUAAGUACCCAAGUUAGGUUUCAGUGGGGAAUGUGUUACGCGUUCGCAACGGCCUGCUUUAUACCGCUUUGCAGGGACCGCCGCGUACGGCGUUGACCCCUCGCUCCGAUCCACAAAUUCGCUCCAGGGCGCCAAUUGCUGAUGCGUCAAUUGCAUCCAUAAACUUGCAAUCGUGCAAAUAGUAAAGCACAAGUCACUUGGGCAUCGACGUUCAAAGUAGUCCAGCAGCAUUUCAGCUGGUCGGUUGGCUGAGCACGCACGUGAAGUAGUUUCAGUUCGAGGUGACAUUUUCUAGAUUGCUGGAGUUUACUGGGUCACUUAGUCAAGCGCAACGCACCGCACGAGACGCGGUAAGCGAGGCGACGCGGGCGGCGAUAUCUUACUUGCAUACUAGGGUUUCAACUUUGCCUACAGCACCGAACUUUGCAACCAUACAGAAUGUUCUUGUGAUCGACUGGGACGUCAAGGAUUACGGCUAAGGGUCUUUGGGGCCAGCGCGCAAGCCACGGCGUUCGGCCAAGGGCUUCCAUAAUCGGCAAUGAGGGAAUUUACAAAAACUACGCCCCGACCGCGCGCUGAGCUUUGUGACUAGAAAUAAGGCUCUCAGCAUUCUGCGUCCAUAAUCCAAUGGUUUGGGUGGCCUGGCGCGAAGUUCACUACAAGACAUUUACGAAAGCGCCCUUUGCCUCGCCCUAACUUCUGCAGGACUUCUUCGCUGAGCAUCUUUUCGAGUACGCCCAAGCGACGUAGCACUACUAUACAAUGAGCGAUCGUAAGUAAUGCGAAAGCAAGGCAGUACGGGAGUCAUCGGCGUUUUAGUGACAACCCUAGUUGCUCGUGCAUCGUGGCGCCACACCGAUCGACCAACCAUUGCGGCAUACUUCACAGCGCCGCCUCCUUGUCGCAAGUCCUCGUGGCAACACGGGGCUUGGGCUGGGCCUGGGGUUGCGACGUGCGCCCCUUUGCAUUACUCCAAGACGAGAAUGGUUUUCGCUGGCACGCCAUAUGCUCUGGGACACUAGUGACGGGCGGAACGCACCUAAUCUGCCUCAACGUGUUAGCGGCCCAGCCAUUCAAUCCGCUAAUGUGCAAGUGCCGGUUUCUGUGCUGAUUCCAGGCUGACGAGUUUAAGUGGCACGGGUCUGCAGAAAGCAUGUGUUUCAGUGUUUGCCCAGAGUUUGCCUUUCCGGACUAUGCGACACUCCCCUUGGGUUACCCAAACAACAACGUCCUGAUCCCCGCUGGCACACAGAAACCUACUGCACAGAGGAGAACUUCGAGAUAUCUCCUGGCGUUUUCACGCAUGGCCUCACAGUGGAGGAGGUGAAUCCUCGUUCGUGGAUGCACAUCCUAGGCAUGUUUGCGCAAGGGCUCGGUUGAGCGGCGUCCCAGUCAGCGCACACUUGGCUCGGCGGGGAUUUUAGGCCGGGUGGGCACACACAAGUCUGUCGCUUGCUGCACAUUGCUGUGUGCGCACCCGCCCCACUCACGGUCUGUGUCAAACCUUUCCUUUGGGUGCUCUCCUAACACUGAAACACACAGGUCAACGCCCAGUAUGGCUGUUGCCAGAAGUUCGUGUGCAACAUCCCCUGCCCCCAGCCCUUCGACAACUCGGGUGUGGCCGUGCAGUACGGCAUCCCCGUGGCGGUGGUGUCCUUAUCGGUGAGCGCGUGGAAGGUGUAUGCUGGGGAGCAGGGGUUUUGGAUCCGUGCCUGCUGUGGUUUGGAUCCCGCAUGAUUCCUUGAUUCUGGGCCCCAUCCACGAGGCUGGACAAGGCAUGAGCGAUUGAGCGCGAACCCCUGUGUCAUCCCCCAUUGGCCCCGCGUUUCCGCUCAUCGCACACGCACGCAGUGGUUCAUCAUGGCCCUCGUCAUCGCGCGGUUUGCGAUCAAGGGCUCCGCCAAGGCCUUCUUCGUGUGCAACAGGUGCGUGUGUGUGUGUGUGUUUGUGUGUGUGUGUGUGUGUUUGUGUGUGUGUGUGUGCGUGUCGUAGCCCGUACGCCCGUGCGUGCGUGUUGGGCGAGCGGGCAAGCUGCCGGUCGUGGGGGACCCGGCUGGUCGUGGGGAGCCCGCGCGCGCGCCCGGUGCCUCAGCCGCCGCCGCACGCUGCCGCCCCCCAAGGAGCCAUGCCCCCGCCCCUGCACUGCACGCCCAAUGCCCCCCAUGCAAUGCACGUUCAAUGCAUGUGCAACACGCACAUGCCCAUGCGAUGCCGCCUGCACGCGCCCACCACGCACGCACACACCACGCACACACACCUCGCAGGACUCUGCCGCUGUAUGUGGUGAUCUGCGCGCUGCUGGCUCAGGGCCUGGACAGCAACGCCACCCUGGGCAACGUCAUCAGCGCCUACAAGUGAGUGUGCGCACGGGUGGUUUGCAAAGGUAGUGCAGGUGGUGGGGUGGGGAUGGGGCGGCGGCGGUGGGGUUAGGUCGGGCCGUGGUGCAGUCGGGGCGUAGUUGCGUUGCAUGUCGCAGCAGUUGCACACUGGGGCCUCCUGCUACAUACCAGCAGCAGGCUCACGUCACCGCCGGCGGAUGUUGAUUGGCCUCGGCGGCGUUCCCAUGAUAGUAACGGAGCAUACCUAUUUUACUGCGCCUGUUCGGCCCGGAUUAACACCCACCCUGUCUUGCUGCUGGUGCGCGCAGGUAUGGGUUCUGGGACGGGGCGGUUCUGCCCAUUGGUCUGGGCAUCUCACUGGUGCUGGUGAGUAGCAGGUGGAAGUUGUCGGCCUCGCAUGUCACGUGCAACACACACACACACACACACACACACACACACACACACACAUACUGAUCCGCCCACAUCCCAUCAUGCCCCACACGUGUUCAUGUCCAUCCGCAACCCACCACCACCUGGCCACCAGCCACUGCUACGCACUGCACUCACCGGUCCCCGUCACUGCUGCCGCCACCCCACGCCGCCUACCCUCCACCCUCUUUAUCAGAACGGCAUCUUCCUGGCGGCCCCCAUCAACCGCAUGGGGCUCUUCACACUGCCCGAGCUGUACGCGCGCAAGUACGGGCCGCUCAUGGAGGUGAGGCGGCGGGGGCGAGUGAGGGAGGAAAAGGGAAAGGGAAAGGAGGCGGGAGAGGGGGCGGGGGAGUAAGGCGAGUAAGGACCGCCCAAAGGUGAGGGGGCGGGCGGGAAGGGGAUGGGGGUGUUCUCGCCAAGCCUAGCAAGCAAUGGGAGACACGAUGAAGCAGGACACGACGAGCUGAACCGUCAGAGGAGGGGUAGAGGGGCAGGCGCAUGCAUGAAGCGAGGGGGAGGGUGCAAUCGAGGGGUUUGUUAUGUCAAGGCGCGGUGCGUGUGGCGUGCUGCGGCAUGCGUGACGACGGCUUUGGCAUGGGAUUGCAUGAGGAAAUCAUGAACGGGGCGGCGUUACGUGGGCAUGGGGUUGCAAGAAAGGAAUGAUGAACGGCAAGCGCAAAGGCUGAAAUCUGCACGUAUGGGUCCAAUCAGGCUAAGACCGCGAGGACGCUCACGUAACAAGUGUACACGCACGCACGCACGCACGUGUGUCCACAGGUCAUUGUGUCGUGCAUCGAGAUCUGCUCCUUCCUCUUCCUGCUGGCUGGUGAGUUGGGCGCGAGCAACACAAAUCGCCAGGGCAAGGGCCGGCCAUGUGCGCACGCACGGCAUGGCACGCAGCGGCCGACACGUGGACAAACCGGGGGGGGGGGGAGCGCGCGCCUGCGUUGCUGUGUGUAAAUAGCAGGAGGCCACCCAGCAGUACCGAUACCUCCACAGCGCAUGACACCCCGUGGCCAACAAAGAUCAUGAGAGGCUGCGGGCGCUCCGGAGGGUGUGAGGGCCCGACGGCUGUGCCGCUCAGUGCGUGUGCUAGGAGCUUACAGGUUCGGGCGCAGCCCCGUCGUCUCGAACAGGAAUCGCUAGUAGCGAAGUGUCUCGUAACAACCGGCCAAAGCACUGGGCGUGAGGUGUCUGAUUAUCGGCGCCAGCAACCGCGCUCCCAUGCACUCUCAUGUGGUGCGGGCGCCUUGCUUGCUUGCCUACGUACCAUCCCAUCCGCCCUCCAUACCACGUGUGUGAGCGUGUCUGACUGGCUGGCUGCCUCUCGCUCUGUGUACUUGUGCGUCUCACAGGCAACUUGGUCGGUAUCUCGCUGGUGCUGUCCUUCUGCUUCGGCCUGGCCAAGGGUGGGUGCCAGCGAGCGGCGGGGUGCCAUGUGUACCGUACACACAGCGGCGGCCUGCCACUACCUGCUGUGAUGACCUGCCGCCCACGCCUGGGAAUAGUGAUGUCGGGAGGGGUGCUGCCAGCUGGGAAGACGUGGGAACGCCGCACACGUCCGACUAUGGGAACAGGAGCAUUCAGGCUUAUCCCCCAUAUCAUGCCGUGUCAUCUGCCGCCGGCCCUUCAGCGGCCGCUGGGACCCCCGAACCACCGGUAACCCACGCGCACGUGAGCCACGCACGCAACACGUGUGCGUGUGCUUCCUGCUUUUGCAGGCGUUUCUCUUGCCAUCGCGGGUGUGGUGCUGGCCCUGUACUCGGGCUCUGGCGGCCUGUUCUCUGUGGCCCUGACCGAUGUGCCCCAGGUGCGGCGCGGCUAGCUAGGGCGGUGGCCAUGGGUUCACGUAGCUAGGGCGGCGGCCAUGGGUAUACGUAGCUAGGGCGGCGGCCACAGGUGUACGUAGCUAGAUAGAGCGGCGGCAGCAGGUUGUUGGCCUGCAUGUCAGACGGACCCGCUGUGUGCCGUGCGCCUUUGUUGGCUGCUGGAAAUGAAUCGUGUCGGUCAUUACUCACGUUGUGGUGCACUCGGUUGCCCACUGUUCACCCGGCGGUAACACCUGCACGGUAUACGUCCGCACACGCCCGCCCGCCCGCCCGGACACACACACACACACACACACACACACACACACACACACACACACACACACACACACACACAGGUGAUCGGCGGCUUCACGGCCUUCAUCGCGACCACCAUCUACGUCUUCACCCACGACCCACAGCCCCACGCCGCGCCGCCCUCUCUUGGCUUCGCGCUGGACCUGGGAAACAACGUCACGGUGCGUGUGCUGUCUCGCUCGUCGUCGCGGCGGCGGUGGCGAGGUGGAUGCGCUCACAACAUACACAGCACCUGAUUGCCAUGGUCAAUGGCGUGCUGACCCUGCAUCACGCAAUCCCCACACCGCUUCGCCCAUUCCCCUGCUGACACCCAGCGCUCCCGCCCACCGGCAUUCACCCACACAAACACACACGUACAUGCGCAAACACAGGCCAUCACACCCGGCUACGCUGGCCCCCUGGACUGCGUUGACCCCGUCACCAACGCCUCCACCUGCGACAACUACGCCUACCCCGUGGGCGACCAAAUCAUUUGGCCCAACGCCAUGACCAACUUCGGUGAGAGGCUAAGAGCAAACACAAAGACAGGAGCACACACCAGCAACCGCAAUCAUACAUCAGCACUCCUGCAUGCACGGACGCGCGCAUAUACGUACGGCUUGCUAAUGGCCCUGCUGGUGACAUCCAACCCGCUGCUCGCGGUGGUGCUGCUGCAUGCGUGCAGACGCCUACGCGCCCUUCCCCAACGCGCUGUUCUUCAACUGGGUCACCAUGUUCGUGCUGGGCCUGGGCAACCUGUGCGCGCUGGACUUCCAGGUGGGCGGCAGGUGGCGAUGGGCACAGUGGUGUGUGUGUGUGUGUGUGUGUGUGUGUGUGUGUGUGUGUGUGUCUGUGUGUCUGUGUGGCUUCGGCUCCAUUAUGUAGCAGAUGGGAUGGGUGUGCCCAACGGGCGUUCUGGGUGUGCCCAGCGGGCGUUUUGGGUUAUCUGGUGCUACUCGGGCCGCGCACUGCCCCCGUGCACGACUGCUGCUGGGUCUAUCUGCCGCCGUCUGGGCUGGUCGCCUGUCAGCUCGUGUGCCGUGUGUGGCGUGCAUGUCAUUGUACCUAUCCAUUCGCUGGCUGGUAAUAACGUACAUGGGUGUGUCGGGCGGUGUGGUCACCUCUGUUGCUUGCCUGACCCUCCUCAACCACGCCCUUGACCAUCCACAUCCACACCUACCCGUGCUCGCUCUGCAGGCGCGCUGCAUGGCCUCCAAGACGCCCAACACAGCGCGUAUCGCGAACCUGGUGGCCGGGGUGGUGAGUCCGCAGAUGAUGGGCAUGCCCUGCUGCUGGUGCAUGGAGGGCACCUGGGACGCAGCGGUGUGGACUUGGGUGUGUUUGGAGGGUAGGUGCAUUCCGGUUAUCCAGGAACGGCGUGAUGCUCUCACGCAAACAGCGACACGUGCCUCUCCUCGCCCGCUCAUCACCUCGACUCUCACCCUUGCCCUCUACUACCUCGCAUCUUUCUGCUGCCGCCCUACCUGCUGCUCCGUCCCUCGCUUGCUCGUGCCGCCAGCUGCUCAUUGCCAUCUGCCUGCCGUUCGGCCUGCUGGCCGGCCUGGCGCGCAAGUACUUCGGACCCGACUCACCGGUGCGUGUGUCCUUCAUUGGGCGUUUGGGUGGGUGCCCGCGGUUGGGUAAAAGGUUUGCAGUCUUUGCACAAUCGGAAACGGAAUGAGACGAACCCACCAUGGGCGGCAGUGGCAGCACGCUGUUAGUUGUGGCGUUGUGGGUGGGAAGUGUGUGCGGGGGAUAGUGCACGCGUGCGGAUGACAUGCGGCACUCGGUGGACACAUACUGGAGCCGAAGCCACCCACCCGCACCCCCACACACACACACGCACACAACCACACAUACACACACACACACACACACACACACAGUCCUGUGUGUUUCCUUUCCCGGUGUCCUCUAACGCCAUGUCGAUUCGCCGCCCUUGUGUUUCCGACACGCAGUACGCCGAGUUCACAGCGGACACGUGCUCCGCGCCGCUGGGCCUGCCCACGUGCGCCGAGUGGGUGCCCGAGAACCGCACGGCGCUGUUCCAACUGCUGUGGCUGCACGUGAGUAGUGGUGCACGUGCUUCCGUCAGGCGCGCGGGGCGGGCUUGCUUGCACCAGGAGCGGGGUCACACAGAGGGAGAGCCUCUGUGCGCAUGUCUACCCCCUCACUCGCCCACGCUGCGCAACUUACCACAAUGCGCAUGUAUGCUUACUUGCAUGGUGCGGCACCUUUACGUGGCACCUGCUGUCAAAACGGCACCGCAGGCGCCCAAGGCUCUGGGCGCCUGGACCAUGGUAGCCAUCGUGACCGCCUCCAUGUCCACAGCUGACGGCGCCAUCCUGGCCACAUCGUGCGUCAUGGCGCACAACAUCUGGCGCAAGGUGUGUGUGGGGGGGGGGGCGUGUGGGGGCGGGUUUGUUCCUGUUGGGUGGGGGGGCGGGUGUUGUUGAUUGGGUGUGCGGUUGGGGUGUUGGAAUGGUGCGUGGGGUGUUGGAAUGGUGUGUAGGGGGGUUAGCUGGGGGGGGCUGUGGGUCGCCGGGACCUGGCCAGGACACCACCCGACUCGCCAGAAUGUCCGCACGCGCGCCUGCCGCUGAGCUCAUCACCAGCCGCCUCCUCGCCUCACCACCUGCUCGCUCCCGCUUCCCCUCCGCCCCAUCGAUCGCCCCCCUCCCCCCCCCCCACACACCACCACCACCACCUCCUUCCCUCCCACCAGGUGCCCAGGUGGGGCACCAGCGAGGAGAACCUGCUGUGGGUGGCCCGCAUCUUCCACGUGCCCAUGACCCUCACGGUGUGCGCGUGUGUAUGUGUGUUAAAGAGCACAAGGAAAACAUUACGCGUAGGACAGUGUAUGCGAUGCAGAAUUACGGCCGCGGAUUACCUUCAGUGUGUCUGUGUGUGUGCGUGGGGAAAGCGGGUUUCGUGUCGGGAGCGAGCGUCGCGGUAACAGGCAUCUUCGGGCAUCUGCGUGCGUGCAAUGCGUGCCGCCUGCUGCUGCCCAUGACCCCGCUCCGCGCUCUCAUCUCCUCCACACAAAGCUACCACCCAAACCCAAGCAAUGCAUUCCUGCCUACCCCACCCCAGCCCACCACCACGAUGCACCCCACCCCAAUCCACCAACACCAACACCACCGCCACCAUGCACCCCGCCUACACCCCCUGACCCCUGCAGGCCUGCUUCAUCGCGGCGUGGGCCUACAACCCCGCCUACCUGCUGGUGGUGGCCUUUGACAUCGUGCUGGCCGGCUGCCUGGUGCCGCUGCUGGCGGCCGUCUACUACCCGCGCGGCUCGCCCAACGCGGGUGGGUGCGUGCGUGUGCCACGUGCUUGUGCUGCGCACCCAUUAAGUGUGUGGCGGCAUACACACACACGCGUACACACACUCUGCUGUCCCUGCCGACCCACACACAAAACGCAAACACACAAACACACGAAAACCGCGCACAGGCCUGCUGUCCUGCCUGGGCGGCUCCAUCCUGCGCCUCAUCCUGGAGUUCACACUGCCCAAGGACGGCAGCCUGGUCAUUGCCGGCAAAUACGCAUUCCUGUGAGUUUUCAGUCAUUUGAGUCGUCUGGGUGGGGGGCGAUGGGCAGGAUGAUAUGGAUAGCGCGGGUGGACGCGGAAUCGCUCACCUGCAAAGCAGUGUGCAAGUAAGAUGGGUAGGCUGAAAUUAAGGCGGGUGUGCUCAGGUAGAGGCGUUCGCGCUAGCUUACACAAGCAAACUCACCGGGUACGGCUGUUGCUGCACAACCACAAACACACAGGUACGGCAGCGGUCUGCCCGGCCUGCCCUCGUUCAUGACCAUCACGCCGGAGUCCGCCGCCGCGGAUGCGGGCGUGUGGAACCCCGACACCGAGGUCUGCGACCAGCGUGAGUGCCGCUGCAUGGCGGGGCCGGUUGUGGCGGGGACGGUGGUCAUGGUUGUGGCUGCAAUGGGUGCGUGAGGUUGCCGGCCGGCGGUCAAAGCAUGUUGCGACCGUCUGAUGGGAUUCGUUGGCAGCUCGCGCAAGAUAUACGCAGCUCCCAUGGCCUUUGCUGCAACGGCCACCGCCGCCUGCUCAUCAGGCAGUCAUGCCUGAUGCAACCCCGCCCGCCGACCGCUCUUUCCAUCUGCCCCUCUCGCGUUCUUCACAUCCCCGCAGCCCCCAUGAAGGACUGGACGGGCCUGGACUCGCUGGUCAGCCCGGCCUUCUCGCUGUUCCUCUUUGUCAGCGUCAGUGUGUUUGAGCGCUACUGGCCGGGCAUUGACAUUCUGUUCUUCAUCCCCAAGGUACGGACACCAGCUGCCUGCCCUGCACGCUCGUGCCACCAGCACCCAGUCCCAAACACUCGUCUUCCGCCCUCCUCACCUGCCCCCCUCCUCCCCCCCCCCUCCCGCGCGCCCACACGCACCCCCCGCCCCUGUUGCUUGACUACCGUACCGUGUCACAACCCGCCCUCCUCCUGCCCCAUGUACUAUCCUGCUGUGUCCUGGUGUCUCCACUCUCCACCUACUUUCUGACUGGGAAUGGCUGCAACAACAAUCCCGCCGCCCUCCUGCCUGCCCCGCACCACACCUCGCAGCCCUGGCGCGCCACCCAGCCCCUCUACCAGCUGGAUCUGGACCAGCAGCAGGUCGAUCCCGACAGCAGUCGCACGCCCGCGCUCGCGACCAGCAAGGCCGCCGAGGCCGCCGCCGCAGCAGCAGCCGCCAACGCCGCCGGCGUGCACCUCAAGGACGAUGCGUCGGCGCACGGUGGAACCAUGAUGCGUGCGGCGCUGGGGCUUGACGACGACCCCAUUGCCAAGGAGGUGCAGCUGACGGCGGGCGCGGCAGGGCUGCACCACCGCGCACAGCCGCACACCGGCGUCGAGGGCGUGUGAGGAGCACUGUUGGUGAGGGCAAGUCGUGAGGUUUGUGGCGGAGAUGCGUGCUGCGCAUGGAUGGGAGUCGCGCAGCAUGGUAAUGCCGCCAGUCGACAUAAAAGUGUAUACAGCGGGAGCACGCAUACCGGUACUCCCGUGCUUGCUAUAGAAACUGGGUUUGAUGUUGUUGUGUGUACGUGCGGGCGUGUGUGUGUGUGUGUGCGUGUGCAGUGCUCUUUCUGUCCCCUAUUCUCUCUUGUGUGUACGGUAGCGGCGGCGGCACAUGGGUGGGCAGCACGCAUGCGUGCCAAGGCAGCUGGGCCGCGCCGGGAAAGGCUUAUCCAUCCAGCUUAUCAUCAUCACCGGGGGAGUCAUAAGCGUCACUUCUUGGACUCACAGUGAUACUUUGGACUGUCAUCAGUAAUUACGUUAGCAGUAGUAACCCUGUGGGAAUGGGAAAGCGGGUGUUGCAAGUGCUUGCGCUAGCCCUCGGGAACCGGACUUACUAAUGACCGGCCAGAGCCGUGCCCCGUGCAUGGCGCGAAGUCGGAAAGCCUAAUACGGCAGUGAUGGAGUGCAUGUGUGCUUUCUGAGGGUGGGACCUAUGCUGGAGUGCUGUGCGUGGCCUAUGAAGCAGAGGUGGGGGGGGGCGGGAGCGGUUUGCCAGUCGGAUUCAGUGAGGCAGCAGCAACGUGCAGGCGCGUGGUGGCCAAUGCCGCUCUGGCUCAUGUGGCUGCAUGUCAGCUGUCGUUGAUUGGGCGGCCAUGUCUGGCCCCACAACAAGUGAUGCUGGCAAACUAAUCGCCAAAUUCCCACGCACGGAGCGAGGCCAUGCCUGAUGACGGAGCGCUAGCUAGGGACUAAGGCAGCAUCACAGACGAGCCGGGGGCUGAUUUUCCUAUGCCAUGAAAUGCUAUCAGCUGCAGUACUGAAUUUAAGCGCAUGGCGAUUUUACGCUUUUGGCGAGAAAGGUGUGUGCGCACGCGUUGGAACAGGGUACGGGGCAGGGUGGCGCAGGCCCGAUGGUUGGCAAGGCACACGGUAGGGAUGGGGCCCUAUGGGGCUAAUUUCAUUUACACGGACUGACCUGCGUGUUCAUUCGGUUUUGGUCGUCUCCGAUACGCUGACAUGGUAUAAUGGCAGCAGGGGAAUGUGCGCGCGUGAAUAUCAAGGUGUGACGCUACUGCAAUUUACGCUUUCCGUGAUACGGCAUUCUUUGUGUCGGGCACUGGUCGCUUGGGAUGCGUUGCUUUCUCGGGUAUGCCACUACCGCUGUAAAACAAUGGUACCUAGGCACAAGCUAGCAACUGCCGAGCGCAAUUCACAGCGGUAUGCUCUCCUGCAGCGGGGCACGAUGGCAUGUGAAUGCUGAAUGCUUAGUCCACGAGCCAUAUGGAUGGAGCACUGCAACCGCUUGCUGGUGGAUGUAAUGGCAUAUCUGUACCACGCAGGUAACAGGUUCAGCUGCAGCAUGAUAGCUUGCUGACAUGACAGCAAAGGGGAAUGUGGGCCCUCGGGAAGGGCGUGGAAGGGCGGCAUGAUGGACGUGUGUGGUCUCCGUGCCUUGGGACCAGAUGUUCUUCAGUGCCUGUUAUUUGAUUACACGUCUGUAUAGCUACCCUAAAUCAGAAAUGUUGUCCCAAGCCCACUCGCGCUUGCGGUGGCCGAAAACUGCACAACUUCCUCGCAGUCGGCUUCGGACUUCAGCCCCCCGGCCGAUUCGUCUCAUAUGCAGCGCAGUAUCAGCUCGCAGUGAGUGCAACUAAAUCGUGCUCUCAGUUUAGACUUGGCGGGCAAUGCCUUCAAGGUUUCUUGGACGUGCCGACGCAGGGAGCUAUUACGAUAUUUUGGGUGUGGAGCAGACUGCUGCAUCGGAGGAAAUCAGGGCGGCAUACCGGUCGCUGGCGAAGGCGUUCCACCCGGACGUCAGCCAAGAGGUGUGAGAACGCCGCAGCUGUCAGCACGUUGUGGCAGGCUCGGGUCGGGUCGGGGCAUGACGCAGCGCUCUAGCGGGGUCUAUGGCCACUCCCCUUCCACACCCCUAAGAUAGUUAUAGACCCUGUUGCCUUGGCCAGGCUCUAUGACUAUCUUACGGGUGUGGGGGUGCGCGAGGGUCAGCCCGCGGCGUAUGGCGGCAUGCACGCACGCAGCUCGAUGCAUGCACGGUAUGCCCACGCCAGGUGCGGUCACAGCGCCGCUCCGCGGCAAGCAGGCACCCACGCGACACAGCAUGCGUGCUGCCACUGUUACACUGUCACGCAUCGGCACGUUCGCCUUGUUGAUAUUGAUUCUUGUUGUUGUUGUUCGCACAUGCAGGAGGACUCGCACGAGGUGUUUGCGGAGAUCAACAGCGCCUACGCUGUGCUGUCAGACCCGGAGGAGCGCGGCCGCUAUGACUACCUGUGGCGCUAUGAGCAGGUGCGCGUGUGUGCGUGUGUGCGGGAGAGAUAGGGGGUUAGUUGUACGCAAAAGCCCAACGAAUGGCUCCCAGACUGUCAGGGGGGGCCAAGUCCAAGCCCGGGGGGUUACGGUAACGGGUGCAAGCGCGCACCUGCCUCCACUUUCGGCGUGUCUCAACUGCAGCCGUAUAUGCUCGCCACAGGCUUUUCGCAGUCACAUUGUUGUCGCCACAACCUGCAAUUGCACCAAGAAACACGCCCUUCCCCUCACGCACAGGCUCGUCUGGAGGCCUCUGGCGGCGACCCCGACCGGCCCCUGACGCCCGAGGAGGCGGAGCGCGCGGCGGCCCUGGACAAGCUGGAGGUACGCAUGGACUGCGCUUGUGCUGCCGCGCGCAUGUCUGUGUGUAUGCGUGUGUGUGUGGGUGUGUGUGUAUAUGUGUGUAUGUGUGUGUGUGUGUGUAUGUGUGUUAAAAAACGAAACGAAAGCCCGCCCAGACGACGCCGGAGUUACUUACCGAUACCCACCAUUUUACCGAGCGUCGCGUGACUGUCGUGACCCAGGUAGUCAUACUUACCCGCGAUAAGCCUGGAACCCCACGGGCGACCAUUCGGCCUGACCCCGCGAUGCACCUGUAUGCGUCCAUGCUCCGCACCCUGGGCGCGCUAAACAACGUUUACCCAGCACGCCUAAUUCCCGGAUUCCCGCCCGCUGGUCGUAGUCGAGCUGUAUGUGUGUGUAUGUGUGUGUGUGUGUGAUGGCGUGUGAUGGCUGUGAUGGUUUUUGUGCGUAUGCGUGCUCGCGCAUGCGUUACUUGCGGAGACGCAGGAGCCACAUAUGCCCUUGCACGUGACCGGGCUGCUGAGUGACAGCUGACGUGCCGGUCGCGGAGCGCCCCUACGUGUCUGCAAGCAACGCACCGUAACAGCACGACUGCCGAUUGUGUGGCUCGCAGGAAGUGCACCGGGAGGCUGAGCGGGCGCGGCGGCUGGCGAAAGAGGCGCGGCGGGCGGCUGAGCGGGCCAAGCGGCAGGCGGCGGCGCAGGUGUGCAAGCGAUGGCCGCUGUGUGUGUGGGUUUGGAUCUGCUGUUGCAUGCAUAUGCUCUCCGGUAUGCGAGAUGACGACAACUGACCAUGCACGGCUGUUUAGGCAUCUGCAUGGAGAGUAGAAGUGCGUGCGUGCGUUCUCAAGACAUCCUGCCGUGGGCUCGGCUUUGACCGCAGGCACGCGAAGUAAAGCGCCAAGCGGCUGCGUCAGCCGCGGAGGCGGCAGCAGCUGCUGCUCGGAGGGCGGCUGCGGCCGGUACCGCUACAGCUGCAACGGCUGCAGCUGUAGCAGCAAGCGCGGCAGCGGCGUCGCAGAAACAGCCCGCAGCGGGCGCGGAGGCAGUGGGGGCGACAGCGACAACCGCGAGGGGGGGAGUGGGGCGCCAGGCGGAGCCGGCGCGGGGCCCAGCGGCAGAACGGGAGGCACGCCGCGCGGCGCGGGAAGCGGCGCAGGCGGCGAAGCGGAAGGCGCGAGAGGCGCGGCGGCAUGCAUCUCAGGUGGGAAGGGCAAAGCUGUUGGCAUUCGCGCGGUCCUGUGUGUGCUGCAUGGUUGCGUUAACCAAGUCUCCCUGUUCUUUCGCGGCCUUGCACACCAUACGGUACGUUAGUUGCAUGCGUACCCUACAUGUUGUUCCUGUCUGUGCGCUGCCCUUAGGUGCGGUAUUGGGCUCAGUGGGCCGAGCACGAGGUGAAGACGGUGCGCCAGACGGCGGGCCUGGAGCCAGUGCCGUCCUCGCCGGAGGAGCAGUUGCUGUGGGAGUGGCAGCAGCUCCAGGCGCGGCAGCAGCAGCAGCAGCAGGAGCAGCAGCAGCCGCGAUCAGGUCAGCGGCAGCAGGGGGGCCGGAGGGCGCGGGGCGGUGCCGCUCGGGGCCAGGAGGGCGGCGGCAGCGGUGGUGGUGGCGGCGGAGGCUGGGAGCCGCCGGCGCCGCCGCCUGAGUGACGCCACGUGGCCGCUCGCCUUGACAUCCAGCUCCUCCGAUCCCCAACAGCUCCGUCGCCAGGGGUCAGGAGUGCGGCGGUUUGCCCGGCGACGCGCGCUGGGGCUGCCUGCUUGAUCGCCAUGGAAGCGGCAGGUGCAACUGCACGUGCGCGCGGUCCCUUCCAGUUGACAGCUGAUGGCGGCGGGCGGCCGCCGCACCCACGCACACACGCGCAGCACAACACACACGCGCAGCACAGCGCAGCACGUUCCCCGACUGCGACACACGGCGACGCAGCUCGCCGCAGCGCAUGCGGUGCACCACCGGCACCCGCCCGCUGGCCUCCGGCCGCUCGCCACACCGCCGAGGCGGCGCUUCGGCGCUUCGCUCACGCACAGUCUCACCGCGGACGUGACCUCAUUUGGCGUGGGGUUUGAGUGUGUCGACGGAAUGCUGCGGCGUGGGAAGACGCGCAGGGUGGCGGCACAGAGUAGCGACUAGCGAGUGCGCUAUGCAGUCUAUGCUGCGGCAUCCCUGCGGCGUACCUGCAGCACGAUGUACGGUCACCAUUGCCAUGAUGGCGGGUCCUGCUUGUGCCGCAGCGCGAGUCUCCACUCAACCCGCCUUGGCUAGGGGGGGGGGCAUGUGGAUGCCCCCUGGCCGUGAUCGGAUCAUGCCACAGGACCAGCUCACCAGCAUCAGGGCGCGCUUCUGGCGCCCCCUCGUGCUGCUAGCUAAACGUGUUAGUUGCUUUAGGCUGCUCAUGACUCACGUGUGUUGGGGCACUCUACGGUGCCGUUUGCGGGUCUGAAUGCAAGCGCGCACAUUGCGUGUUACAAUGGAAGACGGACAGGAGGGGGCCACGCGCAGUGAGGCAGCCCAACGUGCUGUAGCAAUGAAACCAACACGCCACGCGCUUUGCAGACUGCCUCCUCACAGUUCCAGUGCUCCACAACUCACAACUCAGAACUCCGCACAGUCAGCAACUGCCGGCAUCGUACUCGUGCAGCCCGAGCUGCCCAACCCAACCACCACUCAGCCAUUCGCCAACCUGCCUUAACCUAUAUCGUAUAAUUCGUAUUCAUGCAGCUCAACCCAAAGAGCGCCCAGUCAGUGUAAGCGCCCUCGCACGCGUAGGCUAAAAUACAAUUUCGCCCACGGCCAGUAUAGGUGACCGAAUCGUGUUCGGUACACACGUGCCGUGGCGCCGGUCUCCCAAGGUGGAGUCAGCUCACUGCUGCAUGGUCCUCAAACGGUCAUGUGUCAGCACGUACUACACGAAAUGCAAUAUUGUCAACCAAUUGCAACAUGGUGAUCAGCAAUCGGCGUUGUGAUCAGCCUAAGGAGUCAUCCGUUAUCAACCACGGCAUGCAGCCAUGCACCCAUCUCGGCCGUAAUCGCUCGCUCCCAGGCGUGCGUGCUUGAUGCUCAAAGGCAUCGGCACAGCACGGCACGGCACGCAACCAAAAUGCACACACACGCACCGACAUAAAUUGACCUCUGGCCCGCACGCCGUUGAACCAGCGCCAGUGGGUGCCAGCGCCCGACGACACAACAACAACGUCGCUUUGUCCCUUCGAAUCGGAUUGUCCUCAACCCAAACCCAAUGGAAUGUAUGAAUAACCUCUCCGGAACGGGGAUCAAGGUUCUCCACCACGAUUUCCCGUGCGAACGCGAAGACCGUUUACCUUAUCUAGAUCAGCCAGGAUCCGCUGCGGUGCAGCUUUCCUGCAUGUCGUGUGGCGUCGCGCAUACACACAACAUACAUGCACCAACGGUAGCAACAACAAAAUUUGUUCGGCGUGAGCGCCGUGUUGUGUCAAGUACGCAAGUUACGCGCGCGCAUGAGGUCCACCGUUUCAAGUGGAAGGCGAGAGCAGUGCAAAGUCCUCUCGCAAGUUGUAUUCGUGCCUCUGGCACAAGAAGAGGCAGCGGACGGCAGGGUAAUGCACACAUGCACCAUGCGGAAUGCCUAUGUAUAUGUGACCAACCAAGCUGCCGGUCACCGGCUGCGCCGUGAUCCCAACGACGCCCAACCGGCAGCCUACAAUCAGCCCAUUCCUUCAUUCCCGGCCGCUCAGAAGCCCGCGAGCGACCAGCGGCAUGGUGCGAAACUCGCGGCAGUUCAGCCCACCUCUCCCUUCCUCGCUCAGAAGCCGCCCCGCAGAUCGCUCAGAAGCCGCCCCGUGGCGCGCCGCCGCCGCACACGCUGCGCCCUGUGCGUGCCGGGCUAACCGCCCAACCCGCAGCCGCGGGCCGCGUGUGCGCCUGCAUGCCACCUAUCCGUCUACGCCCGAUGCGACUGCUGACUCGACUGCGUCUGCACUUGCUGCGGCUGCCGCCGUGACGCCUUCAUGAUGUCUUCAUCUUCCGAGUCCAGCGGCCCAGCGUCGCUGAAGUCGUCUGCCCACACGCCCGGCUGUUGUGGCUGUUGCUGUUGCGCCUGCUGCUUGCGGGACUGCUGUUGCUGCAGCUGCCGCAGCUGCUGCGACUGCGACUGUGACUGCGCCGACGACAGCCUGUGGCCACCCACCAUGGGCGAGUGCUGCUGCGAACGCGAGUGCUGCUGCUGCUGCUGCUGCUGCUGCUGCUGCUGCUGCUGCUGCUGCUGCUGCUGCUGCUGCUGCAGCAUGCCCAUUUGCGAUGUCGAAACCAUCGGCGAUGGCUGCUGCGACCGCGACGACGCCUGUGAGCUGGACGGCGGUGCCGCCGCCAGCGACCCAGACCGCUGCGGCGACGGCGCCUGCGGCCGGCUGCCGAUGCUCGCCUGCACCCCGCUCGGACUCGUGCGAAUGCCGCCGCCCGUGCUUGUGCGCACCCCGCCCCCCGUGCUCGUGCGCUUGCCGCUGCCGAAGCUCGGGUCCCACGCCGUGUCAUUGGUGCUGUGGCUCCCGGGCCGGAAGCCCGCCGCCACUGCAGCCGCCACCGCCGCCGCCGCCGAGGCCGGCAGCGCCGCCGCUGCGUUGCCAUUCAAGGCUCCCGGCAGCCCCGCCGAGUCCAGGUCAAUUCCGGACAGCCGCAGGGCCGCCUGCACCUCGGCCGCGUUGGCGUCUGCCUCGCUGCCUCCCGCCUCCAGCCCCGGCGCGGCCAGCAGCAUGGUGCAGAACUCGCGGUAGUUCAGCCGGCCGUCCUGCGUGGAGUUUAAGCGGGGGUUGCAAGGUUACAACAUUGGGAACAGCAUACAAGCAGGGGAGGCGGGGUUGCAGAGUUAAGGGUGAGAGCGGGGAGAGCGCGGGCGUCCGGCGGCGGGGCGAAGGAGGAGGACGUCGGCAGAAGGUGGCGGAGAAGGAGGCUGCACGGCCACACGCGGCCGCCUUCACAGGUCCCACAGGCCCCCCAGGGCCCCACCUUGUCCAAGUCCGCCUCCGCCAGCAGCCCCGUGACGCUCUCUCGCGCUGAGGCGGCCGAGCUGGCGGCGGCGGGCAGCUGGGCCAGCGCGGCGGCCAGCUCCUCCCUGGCAGAGGGCAGCAGGGGGUGGCAGCGGGUGACAGAGGGGGUUCCAUGCAUGUUAAAUAAGACGAGAGGGCGUAGCCAGGAGCAAUGGUACAGAUGUCACGUAGGGGGGGGGAGACCGCCGGGUGAGUGACAGCGUGGCAGGGUAGGUAGGGGCACGGGAGGAGUGGCGGCACUCUGUGUGAGAAACCCCACCGAGGCAUUGCACCAGCAGUUACUCACUUGCUGAUGUAGCCGUCUCCGUCCAGGUCGAAGUGGCGGAAGGUCUUGAGCAGCACGUCGCUCUGCUGCAGCUUGCUCAGCGUGUAGGUGGCGGCCACGAAUUCGCGGUAGUCCUGGGGCAUAGUUGAGGCGCAGGUGGGGCGCAUUGAGAAUGAUAAUUUGACCUGACAAAACGAUGUGCUACUAUGCGUAUGGGAUAGUUUGCGGUGAUAAGAUCGCAGCUGGCAAAAGCGCAGCUGACAUUGGCGCUGACAAUUCGAGGUGAAAGCAUUUAAGGGGGAGCUGCUUUCCGUUCCUCGUUCGGGUUGUGGGGGGUCUUAUUCAUGUGGAUCCAUACAGGCUCCCCCCCUCCCGCGUCCCUGCUGUCCCCAUACGCCGCAGGGUUGCUUGGGUGACGACAGGCAACGGAAAGGCGCACCCAGCCAGGCACCAGCACCGGCGUAACAUGCACGCACACGCAUAACGAUGCUGUGGUUGUUCCGGGUAUUGAUAUGAUGUAACUAUCUGAUAAGAGCGCAGGUGCCAGAAGCGCGUCUGAUAAACUGUCACCUCAGUUCCUUUCAU